UAUAAAUAAAAAUAUUUUAUCAGUUUUUUCUUAUUAUAAUUAAAAAAGAACUGGAGACUAUAAAAGGGUAUGCAUGGAAGUCUAGAGAUCACAGAAAACACACACUUCAUUUCUUAAGAAAAAAGUUGUUGAAGUUUGAAGAGAUCAUGAGGGCAAUAUAUAUUAUCAGCAUCAUUAUAGUGAGCUUGAGCAUUUUCUCUUGUGGUGGGAAUGCUCGACUUCUUCCUGCUAAUAGAGAUUAUCCAUGGGCAAUGUUUGCCCUAAGGCUUCAAUGGCCAGCUGGAUUUUACGAGGUCAACAAUGACUGUGAUACAAAGUCUCUCCUCAACACAUUUACCAUUCACGGCCUUUAUCCCUAUAACGCGAAGGGGAUCCCAGUGUUAUAUUGUGACGGAACUGCCUUUGAUGUUAACUCUGUGAGUUCUCUCAGUCUGCAUUUAAUUUACUUCUUAAAAUCCUUGCUCUAUUGUCUAUUAAAUAUGUUUUUUUGUGGUAACAUUUAUAUAUAUCUUGAAGAGUUGGAUAUGUUUGUUUGAUAAAAAAAAUGAAAUUGUACAUGCAAUAUAUAUCCAUACAUACUCACAUAUGUUAAACUAAUUUCUCUCCUCCUUUAUUUUGAAAAUUAACAGGUAUCGGACUUUCAAGCAGAAAUGCAUCUUGCAUGGCCGAGUCAUGAAACUAAUACUGAGGACAAACAAUUCUGGGAACACGAGUGGAAUAAACAUGGAAGGUGCUCAGAAGCUUUGUUGAAGCAGACUGAUUAUUUUAGAACGGCGCUUGCUUUUAGAAAAGCAUUUGAUAUAAUUGGGCUACUAAACCAGGAAGGUAAACAUACCCAUUGAUAUAUAAUUAAAUAGUCUUUAAUUUGGUUCAUUAAUUGCUUCCUAAGGGAACUACGUACUUAAUUUAGAUUUUGUGGAUGAUUAAUUGAUAAUGUGAGUUUGAUGAGAUUACUAUUCAAAAAUGUGUAGGGAUUUACCCGAAUAACGACCUUUAUCGUCCUAAAAUGAUAAAAGAAGCAAUCAAAAAGCACUUGAAUGCUGUGCCAGAAAUCGAUUUCACCAAAAACGAAAACUCAGAAUAUGUGCUUACGGAUAUUAAUCUAUGUGUGAACCAACAAGCAACAAGGUUCGUAGAUUGCCCUACCGAUGACGCUACUGAUGACUACCGCCUCAAAUUCGUAAGACUACCUUCUAAAAUGAAAAUUGCGGAUCCGAGGACCAAUUCUAUAAUAUAGCACAAAUGGUACGGCUACAAAAUGGACUACUAUCUUGUUUAAUUAAUGCUUUUGGGAGUAUAUAUUAUCUAUGUAAAAUAGUUAUGAGUGCUAGGGUUGGCUAAUUAGUACUAUGAGGCCAACCUUUAGUAUCUCUUGAAUAAUGUCCAUGUAGCAAAAGUUUAUAGCACUCUGGCCUUGGUGUGUAUGGAUAAUUAUAAUAAAUGACUACUUUUAUCUGCAAAAAAAAAUAAAAUCCAAGUAUUUUCUUUUGUUUUUAUUUUUGAUAAGAAUUUAAUUUUAUGUAGUUUGAUGGCAUAGUUUAUCUAGGAAGCUGAUAUUUUCACAUGUUAAAAUGAUAUUUUCAAACGAGUCUCUCACAAUAUGGAUGUGGGACUUGCUCACUAUUCAUGUGAGAGGGAUUAUGUGAAAAUAUCAAAUUUUUAUGUGAAAAUAUUAGCUCCCUUUAUCUAUUAUAAUGGUGAAACAUGACUUUUUGAUAUUUUUCACAUGAAAAUCGUCGCUAUAGAUCCUUUAGUAGUGGUUUUUACUGUCGCUAUACAUCUCUAUAGCUACAUUUUUUAUAUAAAAAUAUCAAAAAAAUAUGUGGAAAUAUCAAGCAUGCAUGCAUCGUACCAGAAAACAUUUAAAGGGACACUUCAAAGGGAUUUCAGACAAAAAAUAAAACCAAAAAUAAAUGAUUUCAUCACAAUUUUGUUUUCAAGUAUUGUCGCAAAUCAGUGGUCACUAAAAAAAAAAAGGAAAAUAUAUUUGUCGCAAUCUAUAAAACAUGACUGAAAACAGGGGCGAAGCCACAGUUCAGGAUGUGUGGUCAAUUGAUUUCAUUGAAAAAUAUAUAUUUUAUAAUAUAUGAUAAAUUUAAAGAAUAUUUAAGUGUAAUAAAUAAAUUGACUUCAUUGAAAUUUUAUAACCUUUUUAAUAUACGGUGUUAAAUUGAAUUUUUUAUAACUUUCUCAAUUCUAUAUUAUUUCUACUCCUUGAUGUAUGCUUAUUUCUCUAAUAUUUUUAAAAUAAAUAAUAAUUUAAUUUAUAUUAUUUUUAUAUCAUAAGAAAUUUAAAUAUUUAUUAACAAAUUUAUGAUUAAAAAACGUAUUAGGGGUCAAUAAGGAGUUUUUUUGUGUGUGUGUGUGUGUGUGUGUGUAUAUAUAUAUACAUGUUGUUUCAUUUUAUGUCUUUAGGUUUAGUUUAUCAGGAUACUAGGUAGAUUAUUUCAUUUGGGUCUCUCUUGAGCCUUAAUUUUAGGUUGCCCUCUUUUAUAAAGAGGAUGAUUCGAUUUCAACUGCUGACAUCUGUACCAGUUGGUUCAUGGACAAGUUUCUUUUGAUAAGUUAGUAUCAUGGACAAAUAUAAAUAAUAAUUAACUGUUACAAUGAAAAUUAAACUUCAAUUAAGUCUAGGCCAUUCAUACAUUGAAAAAAGCUUCUUGAAUAGGUUAGAGAGUUUGUGAAAUAUUUUUUUAGUUUGCUUAACCCUUUGAAAAGCGGUUGUGGUAAGAACAAAUAUUGAUAAGUUAUUGAAACACCGCUUUUCAAAGGGUUAAGCAAACUAAAAAAAUAUUUCACAAACUCUCUAACCUAUUCAAGAAGCUUUUUUCAAUGUAUGAAUGGCCUAGACUUAAUUGAAGUUUAAUUUUCAUUAUAACAGUUAAUCAUUAUUUAUACUUGUCCAUGAUACUAACUUAUCAAAAGAAACUUGUCCAUAAACCAACUGGUACAGAUGUCAGCAGUUGAAACCGAAUCAUCCCCUUUAUAAAAGAGGGCAACCUAAAAUUAAGGCUCAAGAGAGACCCAAAUGAAAUAAUCUACCUAGUAUCCUGGUAAACUAAACCUAAAGACAUAAAAUGCAGUAACAUAUGUACAUGAAGGACAUAUUGAAACACUGCUUUUUUUUUCUUUUUUGAUAAGUUAUUAAAACACCGCUUUUCAAAGGGUAAGCAAACUUGAUACAGGAAGAGAAGUAACCCUUUGAGCAGCAGGAACCCAUCUGGGUGGAGGCGAAUCCAACAAUCAACUCAGAAUUACAAAAUCCUAUACAAUAAGAUUACACACAAACUCUAAAUUUCAUUCAUUUAGUUAGAAAAUUAGAAAAUACCUUGGGAGACGACGAACUUGCUUUCGAAUUCGUCCGGCGAACUUGCUUUCGAAUUCGUCCGACGAGAUGCUUGGAUUUGCGAUUGAGAAUGAGCCAGAUUUCGUCUGGCGAGAUGCUUGGAUUCGCGAUUGAGAAUGAGCAAGAUGGUCUCUGUCCUUUUUUUGACCCGAAAAGGAUCCGCGGCUAUUUUUUCCCAAAAGGUCUGUGUCUUUUCCUCGCCGUUGGAUGUAUCUCACGAUUAGUAUGAAAAGUUCGUAUUUUUGGCAACAUCCGGGCGCCCGGACCAGAUCGUUUCUGUAUAUGUAUGUAUGUAUAUAUAUAUAUAUAUAUAUAUAUAUAUAUAUAUAUAUAUAUGCGUUGUGAGAUCUGUGGUAUUGUGUUGCAUGGGGUAAUAUAAACUAUGCAAUAAGUGAUUUCUGUGUUUAAUAAAUAUAUUAUUAUAUAUUUGUUAUUUAUUGAAGAGGCAAGUUAUUUGAAGUAAAGAAGAUGGAUAAAAAUUUAUCGAUAUUAAAUAAUUUAUGUGAAAUUAUUUUAUCGUAGUAAGUUGGUGACAUUAAAUAUAUUUGAUAAUCACCAAUUUCUUUAGUAUAUGUAUGAGUAAGUAUCACGUCUAAGGCAGUGCAACCGUACCCUUUAAUGGUGGUUGUGUAGGAGCUGGGCUAACUGAUUCCUUCAGAGAGCGGAGAUAUAUACAAAUUAGUAACCGAUCUAACUUACUGUGAAAACAGUGUAGACGAGAAGGAAAGUAAUUUGUUGGUUAUUUGUGGGAAACCACUCAGUGUACUAUAUUGAAUACUAUUAAAGACUCGAUGUGUGUUAGGUUUAGACUUGUAUAUAUAUACGUUAUUGACGAGAGAAGAAAAUCGAUAUAUCUUUAGAUAAAUAUUGGUUAGAGAUUUAUUGAUUAAUAUUGAGAUAUGAUUAAAUGUAUAGAUUAAAGAAAUUGUGUUGAGACAAUUUAUAGAAAGGAAAGAGAAAUAAUUAUAGUAUAUUUCUAAUAAAGGAUAUUAAAAUAAAUUCUAGCAUUUGAUUAUUUUAAUAAUAAUGGGGAAUAUUAUUUUGAAAUUACCUUAUAGGUAAUGUGUGUGAUUAAGUAAUAUGGUAAAUAUAUUAAAACAUAUUUGCUAUAUAAGUUGAUGGAAACAAUUUAUCAUAAUAGGAAAUAAACUUAUUUUCUAUAUAUAGUGUGUACGUGUGUCGUGCAUGUAAAUAUUUUAAUAAUACAUAGAUAUUAUAUUAACAAUAAUAUCUUGAGAAAAUGAGUAAAUCGUUUUAUUAUGAUUAGUUCCUAUAUUUAGAGAAAACAUGAUAAAAUCAUCGUAUGUUAUGUUAUGGCGAAAUACAUAAUUUUGAUUGUAGUAAUGUAUUUCCAAGAAGGUUAAAGUUAAAAGAAAACUAAGUUAUUCUAAUAACUUGAGUUAUUAUAUUACCGCGAAUGUUAUAAAGAAUAUUUAAAUAUCUUCAUUCACGAUAUAUUUAUAUAUGUGAAUCUUGUGAUAUAAUAGUUCGAUGUAAAUUGAACAUAUUAUAAAUAGUAAGGUUCGUGGUAAAUGAAUAAGUAAUGAGAAUGAGGAUAAGCUUAAUGUAAGCUUGUGAGAUAUGCCUAGUGUGGUAAAGUGAUGGAAUAAACAUUCAUUAAAUAAUUUAAUGAAUGAAUAAUUGAAGGAAUUAAAUUGUAUGUGCAAUGAUUAUAUAUUAUAUAGUAACUACAUCUAUAUGAUAUGAAAUGAAGUGUGACACUUCAAUGGUAACUAUAUAAUAUAUGAAGUAUUUGAAUACAUAUGUAUAAAGACUAGUAUGCUAGCAUUAUGUACAAGUGAGAUAAUAAAUGUAAUAUGGUACAAUAGACCACUUCCAUGACCAUAUUAUAAGAUGUAAUGUUAAGAAUAAUAUUAUUUUGUGAGAUUAUUUUAUUAUAAGCUUGUGGACUAUUAAUUACUAAGUUCACAUAAUUAUGUCUUGUGUGGCAUAACUAGUGAAGUUAAAUCAAAGGGAGAAUUAAUGGAAAGUAUUAAAAGAAAAUAAAUGGUGAGUUAAUAAAUAAUUGAUAUUAAUUAUCAUUAUGAUAAUUGAGGGUAUUUGAGGUAAUAAAGUUUAUGGAAAAUGAUGGAUUGAGAAUAUCCAACUAUUUUAUAUUUAGCCCAAUAAAAAUAUUAAUUGAAAUAAACCAAUGUACAUAGAUUAUAUAAAUUCUAUGUGUAAUGUAUAAGUGAGUGUAUAUGUAUGAUCAUUUUUGGACAAAUAUCAAAUAAACCUAAGUAUGCUAAUAGUAAUACAAAAUGUUGAGUUUUAAGGGUAGUGUCCCAAAUUGUGUGUCAUUUCUCCAUACACGUGAAAUGCAAAAAGGAUAGCUAGCUAGCUUGCUUCUUCUUCUCCAAAAUCCAUAGCUUCCAAAUGAUGAAAAGGGGAGUGAGUUGAUUUGAUUUUCCACCAACUUCUCAUGAACCAUUAGUUUCUUCUUCAUUCCAUUGAGCAAAGUUCCAAUGUUGGUCAAAAAGUUUUCCUAUAAAUGAAGCAAGUUUCAUUCUUGUACUUCUUGUUGAUCACUCUGUGAAGUUCAAAAAUUUGUGUGUGUGAGUGUUGUUGAGUUGGAGAGGAAACUUGAGAUUGAAAGCAAAGAGUUUACUUCACAACUUUAGAAGGUAAUAUCCCUCUAUAUGUUAUUGAAUUCAAGUUUUGCAAAGUUCUUAAAAAAGUACUAAAAUACUUGUUUUGAGUUGAAAAGUUUAUGGUUGAAGCAUGAUAAAGUGUGUCAAUUGAUGCUAGACACUGAUAAUAUAGUCAUAUGCGAAAACAGCGAGAGUUAAACGGACCAAUUUGGUUUAGAAACGAAUUCGUAGUGAAUGAAUUCACUAAACUUUUCAAAACAUGAAAAUUAGUAUGAACAUGAGUUUUGGAUUAAGAAUUAGGUUAGUUAGGGUUUCUGUAAAUUGUUAUAAUUCUAGUAUGUUGUAGUUCUAUGAAUUACGAAUCCAUAGAAUCAAAAACGGACUAAUUUGGACAUGUAUAACUCAAAUUAUGAAGGUUAGAAAGAGGUUUGGCAUGAUAUCUCGUAGCAGGGGAAAUGAAAAUUUUCAAUUUCAACAGCUAUGCCCGCCCCGGCGGGGGUCUUGCUGUGAAAAAGGCCCGCCCCGGCGGAAGAGGUGGGGGGGGNNNNNNNNNNNNNNNNNNNNNNNNNNNNNNNNNNNNNNNNNNNNNNNNNNNNNNNNNNNNNNNNNNNNNNNNNNNNNNNNNNNNNNNNNNNNNNNNNNNNNNNNNNNNNNNNNNNNNNNNNNNNNNNNNNNNNNNNNNNNNNNNNNNNNNNNNNNNNNNNNNNNNNNNNNNNNNNNNNNNNNNNNNNNNNNNNNNNNNNNNNNNNNNNNNNNNNNNNNNNNNNNNNNNNNNNNNNNNNNNNNNNNNNNNNNNNNNNNNNNNNNNNNNNNNNNNNNNNNNNNNNNNNNNNNNNNNNNNNNNNNNNNNNNNNNNNNNNNNNNNNNNNNNNNNNNNNNNNNNNNNNNNNNNNNNNNNNNNNNNNNNNNNNNNNNNNNNNNNNNNNNNNNNNNNNNNNNNNNNNNNNNNNNNNNNNNNNNNNNNNNNNNNNNNNNNNNNNNNNNNNNNGUGUCCUGCAAUGACUUAUUUUAUCUGUUUUGGUAAAACGGAUAUAACGUUUUCAUACAAACUCCGAUUGAGGAGAUUCAAGAUGAUCCGGAACGAGAAUGAAUAGACCCUCAACUUUUGUUCUUUACAUUUUUCAUUUUGAGGUUGUUAGAAUGGGUCAAAACAGUCAUCUUUGUGACUGUUACGUAUAUGUUAUUCUAAGUUAUUAAACAUAAAUAUGUAUGAUAAUAGACAUGUCAUAUAGCUAAGAUUUCUUUACUCAUAAUGAAAUGCGUUAACAUGAUUUUCUAAAAAACACUUAAAAGUUUUUGAGAAACGAAAGUUGAUGAAAUUGGUGUCCAUUGAGUUCUGAGCUUGGACCCUAUGUACGCAUAUCAAUGGACAUGAAAUUUAGUUUUAAAGUUACCUUGCAUAUACUAGAUUGAUAUAGCUUGGUUUAAAGUGUUUUGAAAGAAAAACUUGAAGUUUUGAAAAUGAAACUUGACGAACUUUGUGUCUUUUAAGCUUCGACUUUGGGAACAUGUGAUUGUGGCCUAGUUAUGCGUGUGGAUGGACAAGGAAUGUAAUUUCAAGAUAUAUUGCACAUAAAAGGUUGUCAAGCUCGGUUUAGUAUGUGUUUUAAAUUUUUUUUAAAAGUUUUAGAAACUAACUUUGAUGAGCAUUGUAUUACUUGCAUUAUGACCUUAUAAGCAAGCAUGAUAGAGUUGUCUAUGACUUUGAACAUGAAUGAUAUGUGCACUCAACUAGUCAAGCAUGACCUAAGUUAUUUAAGCAUGUUUUAAAAGUAUGAACUAUGCUAUGUCUAUGUAAAUGAGAUAGAUACAUGUGAUCAUGCUAUUAGAGGCUUAUUAGUACCAAUAUAUAGUUUAAAAGCUUAUAACAUUGAAUCUUGUUAAAGAAAGUUGUUAAGCCUUAUUGAUUAAAAUAAAUCAUUAUGGAGCUAAGUAGUUUGAAUAUGAACUUGAAAAUAGAUCACAACCUAUUUAAUGUCAAGUACGGAUGGUUAAGAUAUACUUAUACAUGCCUAGCUAUUCAAAGAUUAGGAAGAGAAAGUGAAAUGAAGGUUUUACAAACCUAGUUAGGAAACGAUAUAAUAUUUAUUAUUAUAUUAAGAGCAUAUGAAAUGUAUGACUGAUGGAUAUGAAUCCAUGAUUAUAUAACUAUGUAGGAAUACACGCAGUGCAGAUAAGCUUUAAGCAGUUAAGUCAUAGUUGAUAAACUAUGAAUCAGGGUCUUUCAGUUCUUAUUUGAUAUAUGAAUUUGAUAAUUGUUAGUUGAGCUAUAUUAUGCUAUGAGAAUGUUGAUGUAUAUAUAUGAAAUGCAUAUGAGAUAUGUAUGAAAUUGAAAGUUGAUCUUUGAUGAUAUGCUUGUGAAGUAAAUGUCUAUGCCUGUUAUGUGAGAAGUAACAUGUGUAGUAAAUAUUAAUUGAUUAUGAAUGCAUGAACUGAGUAUGUUAUUAUAUGCUAUGUGCUGCAUGAAAACUGUUAGAAUUGCUGGGUUGUCGAGCUCACCCUUGCAAAUAACCACUUUUACAGGUUAAGGACUCACGAUAAAGAUUACGUGCUACUUGAUACAUAAAGUUCAAUAGCAUCAAAGGAGAUUUAUUUAUUUAUUUAAAUAUAUGACCUUGAACCAUGUUUAGGUUCUAGGAGAUGUACAUAAUAGUAGUUUACGAUAAGUAAUACAUGUUAAGUUGUACUAUGUGAUACAUAGAGGAAUUCGAAUCGAGAUGUAAAGAUUUUUACAGUAAUUCGAAUAGAAUGAAUCAUAACAUAAUUUGAUUCAAGGAGAUCUAAUUGAUUCAAGUUAAGACAUCAAUAAAAGAUUUUUUUUAAGAGAUUGAAAAAGUUUAAAUUAUUCUGCAUAUUUUUAUAACAUCGAAUAUGAUAUAAGACAAGAAUGGUAAAUGACCAAGAUUAGAAACUUAUAAAAGUUUGGGGUCAUUACACAGAUCCUGGCAAUAGAAAGAAUUUAUUUUCUAAAUUGUAAUAAGCUAAGUUAUAUUCAUUAAGUUAUGAAUAAAAGAUAUAAAUAGUUUGACGAUAGUAGUAUCAUGGCGGACUGGAUCCGAGGUUCGAAGGGACCCGGAUUUGGGGGCGUCACAAUCACUAUUCAAAUACAUACAUAUAUCACCUGCUUAAUAUUGUAUACAUUCUUCAUUUAUUCCACACGUGUCUCAUAAAAAAUAAUAGAAACAUCCAUUCAUUCUUCUAUAGGCCUUAACCUCACAUAUUCAACAUUUGCCUAUAAUAUAAAUUAGGAUUACUUGAGAUUUCACGUAUAUGAAAUUACAUAUUUUCACAUCUCGACUCUUUACACAAUUUAAUACUUCAUAAUAUCAUAACGUAUCUUAUAUUAUUACAAAAAAUUAAUACAACAUCCUAAUCUAUUACAUCAACAUUAUUCAUUCUUUCUAACAACCGUUUCUUUCUCUUUUAUCUAUAUCUUUUGGACCCUUUUGAUCCUUCUGCCUUUUCUAAAAAUUUGAAAUAAAAUGCAAGAGCGAACAACAGAUUUGCUUAACAAGUUUAAAAAUAGUUUAGAAUAAUAAGCACAAGUAUAAAUCCCAGUCACUGAAUUAACAUUACAGAUAAUAAUCUUAAAAAUUCUGAAACACUCAGCAUCAACAACGUAGCAUAACAAAAUGUCACUACAGGAAAAAGACUUAUCUAUAACCACCUAUUAGUGACUGUACUUGGUCGCAGAUGCAUAUCAGCGAUUGAAUGCGGUCGCUGAUAAUAGUCACAUAUAAUCUGGCCGUUGUGUGGAUCCCAACGACCACUAUUAGUGACCGAUAUAUCAGCGACCGCCCUAUAGCGACCGAUGUCGUCGCUAACCUGAGUCACUGUGAGUCAGGUCUCAGGGGUGACGUGGCCCAAUUUUUGCGACCAACAUUAUCGAUCGACGUGGUCACUAAAAACCUCAAGUCAUUUUUUAGCGGUCGCUGAUACGUAUUAGUGACCGCCUGCGGUUGUUGAUACUUAAAUUUUUUUUUUUAAAAAAAGAUUGUUUUGGGGAUUUAAUUCCCUACACAUAUUAGUGUCUAUUUGUACCUGCUUUAUAUCUUAAAACACAGCUGUAUCAAUAAAUAAACCAACAUCCAUACAAAUACAUCGAUCCAUAUAUAUACACAUCCACACAUGUAUAAACAUAUAUAAACAAAUACCAUCCGACUAAAUUUUUUAUACAAAUAAAAUGUCAUAACAUACAAUAUAAACUCCGUACAUUCAUUCGGUAAAAAAAGAAUAAUACAAAUGUUCACAUAAAAGAGAAGAGAACAAUACAAAUGUCUGCAUGCAUCAAAUAUCGUCCAAAUGAAGUUGUAACAAAAUAUGUUAAAUAUAAAGUAUACAUGUUGAUACUGGCGUGACUUAUGCAAAGCAAAAAAUGACCAUUUAUGAUGUAUUACAAUAACAAAAAGCUAAACAUAAAUAAAAAACUAAACAUGUAUUAUUGAAUGUAAAACUAAACUAAGCAUCAAAGCUAAACAUAAAGGUAAACAAUGACAAGAUUACCUCGACAUCAUUAGCAUGUUGUUAUGAUGUUUUCACCACUACAUAAGCUAACUCUUUAGGACUCAGAGAUUGUAAAUAUCCGCCAAUUAUAAAGUCGGUCGUCGUUAAUAAAGCUUGUCCCCAAUACUCCUUGAGAAGUGUAAUCUAGUUAUGGCUCACCUCUCCAUGAAAUCAAGAAACAUCCUCGGUUUGAAAGCCCUAUGCAUUUCAGUUGUUACUCCUGUUUUUGCAAAAUCAACUGCCAUAGAGUGAAGGGUUGCCAACUGAAGAUAUUUUUUACUCAUAACUUUAUUUGACUCAAGGUCUGUAUGUACCAAAUGUGCAAUAGAGAUUGUACCUAAGGUAUCAUUAAUCAGAUAAUUAAUUAACAGAGAACUUUUGAAUUUCCUGCAAAAUUAGACUUAUUGGAAAAUCUCAGACUAUUAUGAACAUAAAUAAAAUAAAAUUUAGCUUUAAACUACCUCUAAUGUCAUAUCAUGAUCCAUCAAGCGUGGUCUUCGUCUAGUAUAGUUCAUGGGGGGGGGGGUACAGUUCAACGUGGGAUGAGAUUAUCAUCCCAACUUAUGAAAUUGAGCUCAACCAUAUAGACCUAGCUCUUCCAUUCCCAAAUCAACUGCUACAGUUCAUUGUAAUUGAACUAAUUAAGGAAGUAACAGUUCAAUAGAUAGAGAGGAAAAGCGGGCCAGGACUGGAAACUGGAAGGGAGUUAAUGAGAAUACAAAGUGUCACCAUUCUUAGAUGUUUCUUUUGCAUUUUUUGUGUAUAGACAAAUAUAUAAAAAUAAAUGUGGCUAUUUUUCAAUACACUCAUUAUUUCUUGAUGUAAAUCAUAUAUUCUCGAUGCAGAAGAUCAACUAGACACUUUCUAUGACGCCCCUAAAAUUAGUCCACACAACCCAUUUUGGGUCGCCAAAUACACACUACAGAAUCUAAAUACAAAUCUUUCAAUUUAUAACUAUUAAAAUGUUGUGUAAAAUACAACAACACAUAAACUGGGAGUUUCAAUAAAAAUAACAGUACUCACACUCCAAACUAAUGAUACUUUACAUAAGGGUAAAAUGCAAAGCAAAUCUGACGUCAGCAUUUUUUAUUUUAUUUUACAUAGUGGACAGGCUGACAUGGCAAAUAUUGAAUUUACCUAGCAAAAAUUAUGUUUGCUGCCAAGAUUUGAACUUGAGACCUCUAGCUUAAAACUUGAACCCAAUAACCAACUAAGCAAACAAGACUAGUUGUUAUAAUUUUGCAAGGAUUAAUAUUUAUAACUGAACAAAUUAUUUUCCCCAAUAAUAACAACAACAACAACAACAACAACAACAACAACAAUAAUAAUAAUAAUAAUAACAAUAAUAAUAAUAAUAAUAAUAAUAACAAUAAUAAUAAUAAUAAUAAUAAUAACAAUAAUAAUAAUAAUAAUAAUAACAAUAAUAAUAAUAAUAAUAACAACAAUGAUAAUAAUGAUGAUGAUAAUAAUAAUAAUAAUGAUAAUGAUAAUAACAAUAAUAAUAAUAAUAAUAAUAACAACAACAACAACAACAACAACAACAACAACAACAACAAUAAUAAUAAUAAUAAUAAUAAUAAUAAUAAUAAUAAUAAAAGACGUUAUUAAAGACAUCAAAGACUCCUACAAAGACAUCGGAUUAUUAUUCAAAUUAUAAUCCAUCAAAGACAUCAGGAAUAGUGGGGAUGUUUAUUCAAAUUUUAUUUUUAUUUUAUUAUUAUUAUUAUUAUUAUUAUUAUUUUGAAAAACUCCUACAAGAUCUGUUAGUUAUAAUCAGUCCAGAACAGAUCCAAAAUUCAGCCAAAAAUCCCACAACAUUUAUAUGAUUCAAAAUCCCACAACAUUUAUAUAAUCCAAGGACAGAGUAACAGUUUUAUAGAUCUAGAUCUAUAUCAACUAAACCCAUAACAGACUAAAUUAACACUCAAAAUAAGAUCUAGGCCUCCGUCGACUACUCCGUUACCAAAAGAAUCGCCGGCGAAACGACGUCCCACAAGAUCCGCCUCUUUCAUCUUUCAUCUUCCUCUCCAAUCCCAAUUAAAUUGAAAAUACAAAACAUUAAUUAAAUUAAAAGGAAAAAAAUAGCCUUCAUCAGAAUCCACCUCUUUCAUCUUCCUGGAUGGUGUUUUCAGUUCAGUCUUGUCCAUCACCUGUGGAAAGAAAAAAUAAUAAAGAGAAGAGAAAGGCACUAGUGGUCCGGUUAAGAACACGUGAUUAAUGACUGCUACAACAUCUCUGACGAACUUCACAAGAUUUUCUCCUAUAUGUUCACCUGUAAAUGAGAAACUCUACUUAUGUUUCGAUUGUCAUAAUAUUUUGAAAUUGUACAAGUAAUUGAUGAAUUCUCGGUCGAAUUCGACUUGGGGUUUUGUUCAACCAUUUUCAAACUUACUAAAUCUCCCCUUUUAUUUUAUUAUAAUUGUUUGUAAGCUUUUAUAAUUGUUUGUAAACUUUUAUAAUUUGUUUUAUAAUUUCUGGAAAUGUCUAAUAUUUUGAAUAUGGGAUAUUUUUAAGUUUUAAUUUUAAGCUUAUUUUUAAAUAUAUUCUUUUUAAAUUUGUAAAUUAGUUUUAAUUUAAAAUUUUUAAUUUUAAUCUAUAAAUUUGCUAAUGUUAAUUGUUUAAUUUUUUAAUUAAUGUUGAUUGUUUAAUUUGUUAUCCUUUUAAUAUUAUGUCGAGGGAAAUGAACUGAUUUAGUAUAAAUCUUAAUUCUUUUGUUAAAAUAAUUGAAAGUUUUAUGUAGCUCAGGUGGUUUAAUGGUCAAAGUUUCAAAAUUGAGAUUUUGGGUUCGAUUCUUGGGGAACUAAGUUUUUUAACAAUUAAUUGAAAAAUGCAUAGAUAAGUAGCUCCACAUGACAAAAAUAUCCACGUCAUCGGUGCCACGUGUGCCACGUAGGCAGGUCAACGCACCUGGGGGCUCAAUAUCCAAAUUUUCAAACAGAAAAAGGGCUCAAUUUGCGUUGACAAAAAAAAAAGGGCUCAAUACCCAAAAACACCUAAAGUUCAGUGAUCACAUUUGCAUUUACAUAAAGGUACAAUCAAUAUAACGAUCGAGAAAUUUGAAAUUUAAUUUUAAUAUUUAUGGAAUUAAAUAAAUAUUUAAAAUUAUUGAGGAAAAUAAAUAUUUGAUGAAUUGUCAUAAAUUAAUUUAGUAGCUAAAUUAAUUAAUGUUAAUUGAAUCGAGUAAUGAUAAUUUUAUUUGUUGGAUUUAAUUUAAGGAGAUAAUUAAAUUAAAUCAAUUGCUUAAUAUUUAAGAAAUUAGUUAAAUUAAAUGAAUUGUUUAAUUUAAAGGAAAUAAAUAAAUUAAAUAUAGUGAUGUGUCUAAUUUAUUAAUUAAAUUAGAUAUAUAAUUAUUUAUUAAUGAUAAUAAGAUUUUUAUUAUUAGUAUUAUAAGUUAUUUAAAUUAACUAAACUAAGUUAUUUAAAUUAAUUAACUAAAAGUGUGAUAUAAAACUAUGUAAUAUAAAUGUUAUUAAAAUAAUUUAGUUUGGGGAAAGUUGGUUAGCCAAACCAGGCCUUAUGGCCUUUGGCAUUAUUCCAACUGACGAGUCUUUUUAUUUUUCUAACGUAAGGGAACGUGGGAGCAGCUAGCUUAUAUUUUUCCUACGCAUAUUAUUUUCUAAGGCUAGCAUUCAGUUUCUUUUAUUAUUCACGUAUUUGACUAAGGAGGAAGAGCAGAGUUGAGAGAAAAGAGAGAGCGUAAGAAUUGAGAGAGAAGAAGAAUUACAAGGAACUUGAGAGAUUGAGAGGAAACCUAAGCAAUUUCAGUGUUAACAAGGGUUAAACAUAUUGAAGGUAUUCUAUCUAACCCUUGUAUUAUAUAUAUAUAUAUAUAUAUAUAUAUAUAUAUAUAUAUAUGAACUUACGGCAAAUUUGUUAUGUUUUGUUAAUUGUAAUUCUUUCAAAAUUGUUGUGUAACUAAAGUAUGGUGGAUGUGUGGUAUAAUGCUAGAGUUUAUGUUUAAAACGAGAAGUUUGUAUGCUAAAUUCGUUGACAGUAGGAAGAAAAUUUUGACAGUAUAUGUGUUUCAUAUGGUUCAUGGAAAAGUAUUAAUUUUGAUGGCCAAUUCUUAUGUUAAACUAUAAAUUUAAGCUUGUAUAUGUUAGUUCGUUGAGAUACGAGCAUAACGUAAUUUGAAGGAGGUGAUUUGGUCAAAUAAUGAAUUCACAGUGAUGAUUUUUGGGAUAGACUAUCAAAAAUGGAGUUUUAUAUAAAAAACAUGAAAAUUGAGAAAUUAAAAUAGUUUUAGUUGUUGUUAAUUUGUGCUAAGUGGUUGAAUAUGUUAGCAAUCAUGUUUAUGAUAGUUGUAUAUUUAUUUUUCAUGUUGUUAUCACCGUUUGAUGGAUGAAAUUGGUGUUUGUUGGGCUAAAGUCGGCUACUGUUCAUUAGCCUUCUCUGCGUCUGUCUGAACACCGACGCAACUGCGCCGGUGCCAAGGCAAAAAACGACGCAGCUGCGCCGGUCCCAGGCUUAAGUAUGGCGCAGCUGUGCCAUACCCUGGUCUGAGACAGUGAAGUCUGCUUAUUUGCAGAUCAUGUGUAAUGGACUUAUAUUAGUUUAGCAUGCAUGUUAAUGAUGUUGAGGCAUAAUAUAAACUACAAUAACAGAUUGUCAUGCGUUGUUAUAUAAAGUGUAAAAGAAUUUAAGUGAUUACUUGAAUAAGUUUUGUAAUGAACCAAAUGUGACGUUUUCAAAAGUUAAAUAUAAAUGAUAAGGUUUAUAGUGUGAUUGCAGAAUUGUUAAGGUGUUAACCAACGUGGUUAGGUGCUAGGUUAGGGUUAUGACCUAAAUGUUGGUUUAAACCCUAAAAGCUAAUAUUCAUACAAUUAAUUGUUGUUGUGAUUUCAAUGAUAUGUGUAGGGUAAUUGGAGAUUAUCUUACAUUUGUGUAGCUUACAAAAAAGGCAAGUUUUCUAACUCUACCUUGUUAUUAUUGAGCAAGUUCUUAAAUCUUAACUCUUUACAUUGAGCAAAACUUUCUAACUUCAUUAUUUUCAUAUUAAAUGCAAGUUUCCAUUCCUAAAUUAUUAUUGUGCAAGUUCCUAACAUUCUUUAUGAAGUUGAGCAAGCUUAACCUAUCUUGCGUAUGUUUGUACAAGCUUAUAUAACCUAAUUCGUUACGUUGAGCGAGAUUUAGUUUCCUAAUUAUUAUUUAAAGCAUAUAUUGUUCUAAAACAUUGAUUCAAGGGAGAUUGUUUUAACUCUUCUAUAGCGCUUUGCAUGUAUAUCAUGUUUACUCAAUUAUAUAUUAUUGUUAUUCAAUAUUUGACUUUGAUAACCUUGUUCAAAGCUUUAUCGUUGUAUUAAACCUUCAAUUAGUAAGAAAACAUUUAUUAAUUGAAUUAAUCUAUAUUCGAAUAGUGUUCUAAAAUUCUAGAAACACUGAUAAGCUAGUUCCAAACUAAACUUUCUUUAGUGCGGAAAUUCUAAAUCCAAACUGAGACGAACAACCCUAACAUAGGGGAUUUUGUACGUGUAACAUUUAGAUGUUUGUACACAAUACAUGGUACAAAGGGCUGAUCCCCCUAAGUACGUUAAGAAGGGUCCGUAUAGUCUAAAUGACUGUUAAGGUUGGGUAAUAAUACCUAAGUACCGGGGACAUAGUCCAUGGUCUUAAGACCCUCAGAUAAUUAAAGUUCGAACUUUUUUUCUAGUUUGAUUUGUAGAACAAAUUCCUUAUUGUUCAGCUUUUGUUGUUCACUCUCAUGUUACUACCAUUGCUACUUUCUAUAUUAGUGAGCAUUUGUUUGCUCACUCUUGCAAUUAACACUGUAGCUAAAGUGGAGAAAGUUGAUGAGUCAUCGACUAGCAAAGGCAAGGGCAAGAUGUCCAAAUGAUGAAGACUUAUGAGAAUUUUAUUUUAAUGAAUUAUGUUAAAGACUUGUUUUAAUAUGUGAUGUAUUCCGCAAACUUAUGUAAUAAUUUUAAGGUUAGAUUAUCUGGGAUUUAUUUUGAGAUGAUGAUGUAACCCUUUAAUGGGGAAAAUUAUUGUUUAAGUUAUUUAAAAUUAUGUCUUUAUCCUUUAUUAUGGGUAGUUAGAUGUAAUAGUUUGUGAUAAGUGAGCACCAAAUCCUGUGGGAAUGGAGUACCUGGAUUUGGGGGUGUCACAAUCAAUAACUAUUUUAGGAAUUAAAAUUUUUAAAAAAUGCUCAAGGAAGCCUUCAUACAUGGGAGGCCAUGCAUUUAUGUUAUGAUAGAUAUCAUUUGACUUGAGAAUUAACCUUGGUUGACUCAAUAGACCCCAAAGAAGAACGAGAAUAUUACUAUCCUGUUCAUUCCAAUGGUGUGUAUCUUUUUGCCAUAUAAUUAUCUCCAUUGACUCAAACUGAGGAUUAUAUUCUAACCAUACUCCAAGAUUAUAUAGAUAAUGUUCAUAGAUAUAGUCAGCAAGUGGAUGCACACAACUAUAUCUUAUGAUAACACGGAUUUGUAUGUGGUUAAACAUCAUAUAUGAUAGUAUAUGAUAUAUGAUAUGUCCUCCCAGUAUAAUUAUGUCCUCCUCAUUAUAAUGGUGUGCAUUUUUGAUGCUUCAAAAGUCGGAUUCUCAUCACCUUAUUGUUGUUCACCAAAAUUAACUAUUAAAUGACGUAUAAAAUACGACACACACAUUUUAAGUCCUCAAUACAAUUAUAUAUUAUCAUGCUAUUUUAUAAUGUAUUGAGAAACUUCAACAGACACAGACUAUAACUCUAUUCCCCUGUUAUCCCUGCUCAAUCCAGCUACACUUUUAUUACCUGAAAGAAAUUGUGAAGCAAAAGGGUGAGCACAAAUAGACCAGUAAAGAAUAUUAUGACUAAAGAUAAUUAAAUUAUCAAUAGUCGUCAUCAGUAAUAAUAUAUAAAAUAUUUAGAACAUAUGGUAGAUGAUAAAAGUUUUCAAGCAUAAUUACAGCGGAAUCAACAAUCUAUUAGAAGAGUCAAGUAGAACAUAAUGUCUACUAUCUCCUCCAAAUUAAAAGUCCAUCAUUAAUAUUUCAUUCCUGUAAUACCCAUCAAUGGUUCUUUGUUGUACCCAAAACAAAGAGAACUUUUAUCACCUUUCUUCACCUGAACCACCAAAGAUUAUAGUUAAAAUCAUAAUUCAUGUUUAUAAUAAUGUAAAUCAAUAGUUUCUCCUUGCCACAAAGGGUUAAUAGAACUUUCACUCAAUGUUCUUGUCAUAAAGGCUAAAGACACUCAAUAAUCAUAUCGUCUUUACACCUUGCACUAAAGACAUUCAAUUGUAACAAUAAUUGUCAUGAUCAUACCAAUCAAUUAUCUAUCUUUGCACUACGUGCCAAAGAUAUUCAACUGUAAUAUCAGUGGUCAUGAUCAUACCAAUCAAUUGUCUAUCUUUGCACUACGGGCCAAAGAUGUUCAGCUGUAAAACUAAUAAUCAACAGUCCAUCUUUUCACUAUGAACCAAAGAUAUAUAACUGUAAAAUCAAUAAUCAACAGUCCAUCAUUGCACUACGGGCCAAAGAUAUACAACUGUAAAAUCAAUAAUCAAUAGUUUAUCUUUGCACUACGGGCCAAAGACAUAACCUUGUAAAUCCAAUAAUCAGCUGUUCAUCUUUGCACUACAGGCUAAAGACAUACAACUGCAACACCAAUGAUCAUGAUUAUACCAAUACACAAUUCCGUUCAUGGUUAUACCAAUACACAAUUCAUGUUCAUAAUCAUACCAAUCAAUAGUUCAUCUUUGUACUAUGGGCCAACGAUAACUUUCCAACAUAAAUUUAAGUCUGAGGAUGAUAACAAUGAUAUAAAGAAUGAAUCAAGUGAGAUCAAGAAUAAAUAUUAAAAAUUUAUAAUUCAAUUUAUCCAAAGUUCAGGAAUGUCCAAAUUGUUAACAUGAUAACUAAUUGUAGAGUAAAAUUCAAGAAUGAUAUUCAUGUAUCAAAAAUAAUUUGGACAGAAAAAAAUAAAUUUUGUCGUGAAUAGUACCCCGAAUAUUCAAUACACUCAUUAUUUUUUGAUGUACAUCAUAUAUUCUUGAUGUAGAAGAUCAACCACACUUUCACUCAAUAGAAAUAUUAAUCACCUGAGUCUCUCUGAAAUUUUCAACUACUCCAUGAGAGUACAUUGCAAGCAAAGGUUUUUAGCGAUUAAUUCCUAGUGAAUUAAGAGUUCAUUGCUUAAAAGGGUUGUUUCCUUGAGAGAUGAACACUGAAAACCUUUGCAAGCAAUGAACGCUCGGGGUUGGGAGUGUGGUCAACUUACAGAGUUAGAUCUAUGAGUCCCUAACAUCUCUAAUUGAAAUUUCUAAAUUAUCCGGUCCUUGUAUAUUUUUCGGUGGACAGUUUCUACCAAAACAAGACAAAGCUGAAAAAACCGAAAAACCCUACUGCCCUAAAAUUUUUGUGGGUUGUUUGGGCCACUUAAACAUUGAAAUAAAUUUAGGCCUUUUGGGAAAUGAAAAUAUAUGAUAUAAUGAAACUCUGGUCAGAAGAUGAACAAAUUCCUACAUCAGACGAAGGAGUUAUGACCAAUUCAAUAUUAGGAUUUUUCAGAUAAAAACUGUCAUAACUUGAGUUCUACAACUCUGAUGACCACAAAAUUAAAAAUGGAAAUUCAUGUUAAUAUGUAUAAAAUUCUUCCAAGACUUGGGAAUUUUUGGAGUUGAGCAUGAUAUAGUUCAUUUUACUAAGUUACGUACUAAAAUGGCUCUUUGAAAAAUAAGAAAAUUGAAAAAUUGUAAUACAAUUAUUUUUUUGUGGAAAAUAUAUAGGUAUGUGUGUCCAGGCAGAGAAAAAAAAUAAUAUAAUGGUUAAGGAGGCCUAAUGAAGAAAAUAAAGUUACGAGAAGGUAAAAUAAUUACUUACCGACAAGUCUGGAAUUAUUAAAAUAAUUUAUAUCGGCUAGAAUAUGUUGACAUUUGACGUAUGAGUUUAUGUAAAGGUUAAUCACAUAUUUUUAUGAGAAUCUUAUAAUUAUCACGUUUAUGUUUGUUUAAGUCGAAAGAUUAAUUAUCAGAAUAGGUUACGAUAAUUACCGGCGAUAUAUAAUUAUUAUAAAGUGAUGAUUAGUUUAAUCAUAUAAAUUGUCAUGAAUAAUGUAGCUUAUCAUUUGAAGGAAGUUAUCAUUGCGUUUCCACGGGGUAGAACCUCCUCAGGGGGGGGGGGAGACCCGGGGAAAUCCCCUGAGGGGCAUCCGGAGCGCCGGAGGAAAGAAGCGCAAGGGCGUGAAGCUUUCCGUGGACAGGACAGGGUCCGUCAACUAGCUUAGCUACCGAUUGGGGGAUGCUUUCACCUUGAAGGUAUUAACGGGCUUGAGCCAGGCCACGCAAGCAAAGGAAAGAUUAAUUAUAGNNNNNNNNNNNNNNNNNNNNNNNNNNNNNNNNNNNNNNNNNNNNNNNNNNNNNNNNNNNNNNNNNNNNNNNNNNNNNNNNNNNNNNNNNNNNNNNNNNNNUCUGCUCUUUCCGGUAAGUGAGUAGGGCCAGUCCCACACGAUUAGCAUAGAUAAGACAAGUCAGGUAGGAUUGGUCGGAGAAGGAUUGGACAUUUCCAUUGAUCAGCUCAUCCAAUCCAGUCUAUGAUCAGGCAAGGGGGCCUAAAAGUAGACGUAACUAUAGGCUUAAGCUCGCUUAAAUGCAAUUUAUCCUUAGGCCGAAUACCUAGUUGAGAGGGGUCCCUAAUGUGAGACCCUUCGUCCAUUCAUUCAGGAUCAAAAGCGGGCCUAAUUGAAUCAUCUCAUCGAGGAUUGCAUGUGAAAAGAUCGGAUCUUCGAAAUCCCCAAUCGUUCGUUACUGAACCUAAAAACUCGCCGCUUCUCAUGUAAAGUAGUGUUCUCGCUAGCUGGAACGGAACUCUCAAAUGGAGGAACAAGCGUAGGCCUUCUUUGAGUAUAGCUUCAAGUAGCUCUAAGAAGUUUACGUCUCGGUUCGGCACUCGGCUUUCUGAAGUUCUUCCAUUCCAGGGCGUGAAGCUUUCCGUGGACAGGACAGGGUCCGUCAACUAGCUUAGCUACCGAUUGGGGGAUGCUUUCACCUUGAAGGUAUUAACGGGCUUGAGCCAGGCCACGCAAGAAAAGGAAAGAUUAAUUCUAGGCCAGUGAAAUGAAUUAGAUGGAAAAACACCGAUACAGAUAAGUUUUUCAGAACUUUUUUUUAUGUGUAAACUUAUUAAUUGUUAUGGGGAAGUACUUUAUGUAUUAUAUGUAAUUCUUAUGAAUUGUUUAAGAGGUGCACUAUGUGUUUUAGUGUGAUACGAAUUUAUUGAAAUUAAUUGAUGAUUGAAGUUAGUUUAGUUAUGAAAACUUACUAUAUUGUGAUAUGAGGAAUAUGAUAUGUGAUGCCCCCAAAUUCGGGUACUUGAAACCCUUAUUUAGUGCUUCAUGAUAUCAAGUAUUCAACAUAAUAUAAUAUCAAACAUAAUAAAUUUAUUACAUCAGAGUACUUCUAAUCCCAGGUACGUAGACCUAUAAGUGCUUAUUACAUGAUAGUUAAAUAUUUACAACAUAUAUAAACUAUCUACUACAUAAUAUUCCAGUUAUGACAUAACUUUUCCCUUUCCCCUGUCCUUACUAGACCCCUCUGCCUGAGCCUUAUUAGCUGAAAACAUUUAUAAAAAAAAGUAAGAAUGAGCAUUCAAUUGCUCAAUAAGUAAUAACAUUCUUUAAUAGCUCAACAAUAAAUAAAUGUUUUCUUUGAAGCAUGCUUUGACAGUGAAACAAAUAUGUAAACCAAAUAAAUCUUAAAUUAUCCAUACUCUUGGAAUCAUCAUAUCAAUUUUGAAUAGCUGAGAGGUCAUAAGACCAUGAACAUGAAUUUUUUUUCUUGAAAAGGUUCUAUCAGAAAUUUAUAUAUGAACCGUCUUAUCUUAUGGGCAUGGUGGGUGAUCAGCCCUUUAUGCCCUGUAUUGAUCAAUAUUCUUAUCCAAAAUAAUUUUUAUGUUCAACGUCACCACUCCUAGAGUGAAAUAAAAAUAUCCCACAAUAUAGUUGGAUAGCUUAAAUCAUGGCACAAUAAUAUUUUAAGAAUUAUUAUAAAGAAAUUGAAAUAUUUUACAUCUGUGUUUGGCCAGAACAAAUGGCUCAGACUUCCUUGUAAUCUGUUCAUGCAUAUUGAAUUUCAUUUGAUAUACAUGAAAAUACAUAACCCAAUCUUUUGAAGCUGAUUGGAAUAAAAAGGUUAUUUAACCUUGUAUUAUUCAUAAAGAAUGAGAGACAGUUCAAAAUUUAGAGAACAUAUCCAUAUAUGAAUAAUCCCAGAAUACUUGUGUUAGUUCCCAGUAGGCGCGAUAAAUAUCUAGAAGGGGGGGUUGAAUAGAUAAUUAAAUCUUUUUCUUUUAAUCUUUUUAAGUUGAUGGUAUUCAAUGCACAGCGGAAUGAGUAUAUGUGAAAAACCUUCUGUUAUAUAUCUUAAGUUAAUGAGAUUGAGGCAGUUAUGACAGUUAUAGCAGAUAUUGCAGUUAUAGCAGUUAGUGAACACAAUAGUUGUAAGUGGUUCAGAGCACUAAAAGCUCAUAGUCCACUCUUUUACUCCUUGAGUAGGAAAUCCACUAAGGAUGUCUGUUACACUUCUUGAAUCUCACAGAUUCUUUCUAGACCAGCAGUCUAGGUACUUCUUAGUUCACUCUUGAACUCUUCAAGUCCAGCAGACUUGGUCUCUCAUAGUUCACUUAGAACUCUUCAAGUCCUUCAGACCUGGAACUCUUACUUCAGUUGAUUGAAUGUUGUUUAGAUCGUGAUUGAUGCUAUUCAGUUUCUAGUAAGCACUUGUUUGAAAGAACUGAAUAGCUGAGCAAGCUUCCUUUUUCUCAGAUCGUAGAGUUGAGCGUUGAGUGUUCUUAUGCAUUUUUUUUGUUUAAUACUUGCUUCUUCUUUCUUAUCUGUCUUUGAUCUGUAUAUAUGUGAUCUUGAAAUCUAUCCGUUGAAGUCAUCUGAUGAGCCAUUAAAUGCAUUUGACAUUUCUGAGCUUUGAUGGAGACUUUUUUGCACAUCUUCUGAAUUACACUCUAGCCCACUGACACAGUAGACUGCUUUUUCCCCUAACACCUUAAAAGGUGUUUUCCUCUGCCCAAUGGUCCUUUUCUUAGCUUAUUGAGUACGUUUCUUUUGAUCAAUACUAAGGAUAUCUUUUGUACGUUGGGACUGGUGAGAGCUUCAACGUUCAAAACCCAUUCCAUAUUUGUUGGAGUCCAUCUUCAGAUGAACGAUAGGGCUUGAUGUUUCUGACACAAAACAGAUGACACUCUACUAUCAAUAUCAUAGUGUCUUCUCAUAUUGGUGCCUGUUCGUAAGAGAUCACUACGAUUUCUCACAAGGAUUUUCACACUAUGUUCUUCACUUACUCGUCUUGCAAACUCUACAUUUUCGAGAGCACACUACGAUAUUUUAACACUACGAUCUUCACUUGCUCGUCUUGCAGAUUCUGCAUUUUCGAGAGCACACUACGAUCUCUAGUUUCGGCAAAAGUCUGGACCACACUUCGAUUCGUGGAGAGGCCCUUCAAGGCAGAUACACUACGAUCAUCUCAGCACUACGAUCCUGCCUUAGCUUCUGCAUUCUAUUGAUCAACCGGAUAGACUGCGAGUCUAUCUAUUUCUUUCUAGCCAUAGAUCAACCUAACAGAUUUGAUCUCUUUAUCUAUACAAGUGAACAUUAAAGACUAAGAUCAACCUAACACUUUUGAUCUAUCACUAAGUCCUUGUACAUAUAUUCUUUGAAGGACUUUACAUAAUCAUGAGUAGUUUCAUAAAACAUCAAAUCACAAUAUGCAUUCUUCCAACAAUCUCCCCCUAUUUGAUGUUGACAUAACCAAGGAGAUUUGUUGUCAUGAUUAUAAAGUUUUAUAUGCAGUUGCAGAAAAAUAAACAUGACUUAGCAUUUCAGUGAGCAGCUGAAAUUUUUAAAGAAUAAGCAUGAAUUUAUUGAUGUAUGGAGACAAAUUUUACAUUUAAGAAUGACUACAUCAAUACAAUUUGAAAUUCAACUUAUCUCUAUUUCUUUGGCCUUUUGCUUCUUGGAGGAUUUGCAUAUUCCUCAGCUCUCCUCUUUCUGCUUGCUUCAUCUCUUCUGGCCAUAUCUUCCAGCUCACUUGGGCUUAGCCUUGGAUUGUGAUCAUGUCUAUUCAUGAAUGCAGGAUCUCUAAUUGGCAUUCUUAGACCUGUUGUUGUUACCGUAUGAGAGCUGGUGGCUGGCCCUAGACUCCUUAAGGGUUGAGCCAUUAAUAUUUCCUGCUGAUCAGAUCAUUGAGUCUGAUGGCUGGAUUGUGGAGUCUGCUGGUGGAUUUUCCUUACAGAAGGAUUCCUUGAGGAUUGAGGUUGGAGACCUCUACCUUUUCCUUUGCCUCCUGAUCUCCUCCUUUACCUUUAUUCUCCCCCUUUAUGUCAACAUCAAGGGUUCGAAUGUCAUCUGAAAGACGAUUAAGGCCUUGAACAAGCUCGUUGAGCUGACUCUUGGUCUGAGCAAUGUCUUCUCUAUUUUCUUUGAUUAGAGCUUCAGACCUAGCUUCCCUUUGCUGAAGGAUGGAGAGAAUGUUGUCUGUUUGCUCGCCAUUGCUGACAUAGAAUUGUUGAAAUUCUUUGACAGCAGUCUGAAGAUUUUGGAUGCUUUGUAUCAUUAGUUGGUUCUGAGAUUCUUGAGUUUUCUAUAGAAUCAAGACAACAUCCCGAUGUCUUUUAGCUGUGAGGAAGUGAAUAUCAUCCCUGUCCUUUAUGCUUUGUAGCAUUUCUUUGAUAAUCUCUUUGAGUGUUUUAGACAGUUCGGAGCUCAGGGAGCUUGGAAGAUUGUUUGCAGCAUUGAUCAUUGAUGUCAAUCUUAGCUGUAUCAAUGCAGUAUGAUCUUCAAGGCUCUCAUCUAGUUUUUUGAUCACUUUCUCAGACAUGGCUGACAAAUCAGCCUUUGUGGAUAGUUCUGAUAGGAAUUCAUCUAGAUUUGGAAUCUGUGAGGGAGGUGGCGUGCUCUUGAAUUUAUAUUGCAGUGAGUAGAGAGAAAGUUCAAGAUUGAAGCAUUCAUUUCUAGAUGAGGAGGGAAUAUCUGAAGGAGGGGCCUGUGUUUGGAUGUUGGAGCUUAGUGACUCUACGAUUUGUGGUGGAUACUCUACCAGGGGUCUAGAGUGAGGGAUCGUAGAGGUAGUAGGCUGAGUGAGCAUUAGGGAGUUAAUCUUAUUUGGUUCCUCAGUUACAGAAUUUUGAGAUUCUGUAACUAGAAUUGAUUCAGUUGAUGAAGAAUUACUUCCAACCAUUGCGGGAAUUCAUAGAAUUGAUUAAAUGAGGGUGGUGGCAAGUGAUUAAUUCUGACAGGAGUGGGGAUAUAUAAUACCUCAAGUGUGUUCUCUGAGGAAGGGCUGUUGGAGAGAAGCUUCUUGGCAAAAUUGAAUUUCCCUGGGAAUCCAUUUGCAAGUACUGAGAUAGCUGGAUACUCUUUGAAACUCCAGAACAUGUGAUCCCAAGAGUUCAGAAUUUGAGCUCGGUGGAAAGGCAUCAUAGGAAGAUAUGCAAAUAGUUGCUCAUAGGUGGAUCUUCUGUGCCCAUGAAUGCCUACAGCUAUAAUCUCAAUCUCAUCAUCUUCUUCUCUGUUUUCACUAGAGGAUUCCAUUAUGUCGAUUGCUUUAGGUUCUUCAUUAUCUCCUCCAGGAAUUUCUUUUUCAGCUAUUGAGGUGUCAUGAUCCUCCCCCUCAGCUUGAUCAUUCUUUUGAAAUGUCAAUAGCUCCCCCUCAACUGGAGCAUCCUCUGGUGGAAGAUCUUUAGGCAUCUCCCCCUCAGUAUGAGCACCUUCUAUCAUUAGAUCUUUAGGUGUCUCUCCCUCAGCAGGAGCCAUGACUACUUGACAUUCACUUGCUGGUUCCUUUUUAGCACUCAGUUCUUUUGCUUCCCUUCUUAGCACUUCUUCAUUGGCAAGAAUAUACUUCUUAACUAGUUUCCUUCUUGGCCUUUUAGGCUGUGCUACAGCCUCAGGACUCUCUUUAGUUGUGUCCUUCAGAUCAGCUAAGAUAUUUGAUGCAGUUGCUUCCUUGUUUGGUCUAGGCUCUACGAUCGGAGGAGACUUGACGAUCGAAGAGACUUGACGAUCGAAGAGGCUGAUGGCUUUUUACUUUUGUGGCUGGUCUUACUCAUCUUCAGCAACUGAGAUAUAGUUGCUCUAUCUUCUUCUGCCUCUGCUUGCUGUUCCUUUCUCCUUAGGAUCCUUAGAGUCUCAAUUUCUGAGGACUCUACAGGCUUGUUGGUGGUGGAUCCUUGAGGUUCUUCUGUAGUUCUGGCUUUCCUUUUCCCUUUGCUCUUUCUGAUUAAAGCAAUGGGUUCUCCCUGGUUAGUUUCUUCUUCUUCUUCCUCAGUUUCCUUGACAACAGACAUAUUCUCUGGCACUCCUGUUCCUUUUAUCUCACCAGUUCGACCACUGGAUUCAGACAUCAACUUCACAUUUUCAGCUGGAUUUCUCUUCCAGUUUUCAAACAACUGUUGGGUCAUUCGUCGAUUUGGGUUUAUGGCUUCUCCUUCAUCAUCCUCAAUCAGGUCACCAAGAGUAGCCUAUAGGAUAAUGAUGAUAAAUCGUCCGUAGAGCAUCUUCUGAGAGCUCUUUGUCUUCUUGGAGCUAACCAACCAUUUUCUAAUCCAUUCAAGUAAUAAAGCCCCAUAGUUUAGUUAAAUUUUAUAGCAUAUGGAAGUCAUGAGUUUGAGUUGUAUUUCAUUCACAGAGUCAUGACCUGAGCUUUUACAACAUAUGCAUUUUCCAACAAUGUUAGCCAAAAACUCAUACCUCUAUGGAAACUCCUUCUUUUUGUAUCCUUUGACAGAGGGUGAUUUCUUGUGAUGCAUUUUCUUGAGACCUUUAUGGAAGUCUAUUCCAUCUAAGGAUGGAUACCCUUCAGAUUUGAGCCCUAGGGCUAGAUUGAUGUCUUCAGCUCUUAAUUUGAUUUGGACGUUCCUUACUUUCAUGGUGAUGGUGUUGUUUUCAAACACUCCGUUAUUUUAGAAUUCUUUUACCAGCUUUGGGUAGAUCAAUGUGUCAGUACCCAAGGCUUCUUCGAGACCUGCCUUCUUUAGUAGCGACAAUGUCUUGUGAAAUUGGGGUUCAACCAUUUUAAACUCGUCGAAACACAGUCUGUAGCAGGAGACAACACUAGAAGCUGCCAUUGAUUUCUUUGUAGGAAGUGAGGCUGACAGAGCUUGCUACUGAUUUAGGGUUUCUGCUUGAGAGAGGAAGAGAGAGAUGGUCUUUUGAACUUCAUAUUUCAAAAAGGCGAUUUUAAUUUGUACCUGAAACUUCCCUCUCUUUAUUUUGCUUAGUGGGACAGGUGUCAAACUUUGCUUGGCUGUACGAAUUCUUGACAGAGAAGGAUUGUACUGAAUUGCCCUUAACUUCUUCUGGGAUGAUGUAUUCAUUAGUGGGACUACGAUCGUUGAGAUGGUCCUUGGAGUCGUCGAGUCUGUUCUACCAUCGUUGAGUCUGUGUAGCAGUCGUCGUGUCUGAGCUGUAAACGUAGAGUCUGAACUACGAUCAUUGAGUCUGACUGGCAAUCGCAGAGUUUGAAAAAGUCCUUGUGAUGAAUCUUUUUGACUUGGCAUUUUCCUUAAAUUAAGGUAGCUCAGGAAGGGCCAACCUCUUGAAAGAAACAAGGGUUAGGUUUGUUCCUGAGGAACUUAUCAGAGAGAAUGCUUUGAUUUAAUCUUGAUCAUCAUAGGGAGCUCCUUUUGUUUUGUUGAUGUAGUUCUAUUAUCGUUGAGUCUGCACUAUGAUCGUUGAUUCUGUUCAGCAUUCGUUGAGUUUUAUAUACUUUGGCUCUACGAUCGUGGACUUCCUUUGAUCAUGUCUUUUAUUUCAAAUACAACCUUUAAAUCUAUAUGGUUAGCAUAAAAUAAAGCAUAAUAUUUCAUGUUUGCAAGUUAAGCAUGCCUAGCUCACUUAUCAGUUUGUUGAAUCUGGAUUCAUCUAAAGGUUUUGUAAAAACAUCAGCAAGUUGAUUUUCAGUAGGGAUAUAUUGUAAAGAUAUUGUUCCAUUUUGUACAUGAUCCCUAAUGAAGUGAUACCUUAUUUCUAUAUGCUUAGUCCUAGAAUGCAUGACAGGAUUAUGAGUUAUAACAAUUGCACUUGUGUUAUCAUAAUGAAUAGGUAUGGAUUUGAAUUCAAACCCAUAAUCUGCUAGCUGAUUUUUUAUCCAUAGAAUCUGCGCACAGCAACUACCAGUAGCAAUGUAUUCAGCUUCUGCAGUUGAGGUAGAUACUGAGUUUUGCUUCUUGCUAAACCAGGACACAAGUCUGUUACCUAGUAAUUGACAAGUGCCACUGGUACUUUUUCUAUCUAUUUUGUAGCCUGCAAAAUCAGCAUCUGUAUAACCUGUUAGCUCAAAUGAGGAUUCCUUGGGAUACCAAAGCCCCAAGUGGGGUGUACCUUUGAGGUACCUGAAAAUCCUCUUUACAGUAGUUAAAUGAGAUUCUUUAGGACAUGCCUAAAAUCUAGCACAAAUGCAUGUUGCAAAUAUUAUAUCUGGUCUACUGGCAGUAAGAUAUAAAAGAGAACCUAUCAUACCUCUGUAUUGAGUUAUAUCAAUACUUUUACCUUUUUCAUCUUUGUUAAGCUUGGUUGCAGGAGCAAUUGGGGUUUUCAUGGGAGAGGCUGAUUCCAUACCGUACUUCUUGAGUAAGUCUUUAAUGUACUUGGCUUGGUUUAUGAAAAUUCCUUCAUCAGUCUGCUUUACUUGCAGUCCAAGAAAGAAGUUUAGCUUACCCAUCAUGCUCAUUUCGAAUUUGCUCUGCAUAAGCUUGGAGAAUCUCUUGCAUAACUUUUCAUUAGUAGAACCAAAGAUAAUAUCAUCAACAUAAAUUUGAACUAAUAGGACCUUAUCUUUAUGCUUUCUAAGAAAUAGUGUGGUAUCUAAUUUACCUCUAGUAAAUCCAUUUUCAAUAAGAAAGUUAGUCAGUGUUUCAUACCAUGCUCUAGGUGCUUGUUUGAGACCAUAUAAGGCUUUGUCUAAUCUAAAGACAUAAUUAGAAAGAAAUGGAUUGAUGAAACCUAGAGGCUUCUCUACAUUGACUUCUUCUUGAAGUUCACCAUUCAAGAAUGCACUUUUGACAUCCAUCUGAAAGACUUUGAACUUCAUGUGAGCAGCAAAGGCAAGGAAUAUUCUGAUGGCUUCUAGUCUGGCAAUAGGUGCAAAUGUCUCAUCAUAGUCAAUACCUUCUUUCUGAGAGUAGCCCUUGGCUACUAGUCUAGCCUUAUUCCUUGUUAUCACCCCAUCUUCAUCCAUCUUGUUUCUGAAGACCCACUUGGUUCCAAUUACAUGAUGGUUCUUUGGUCUUGGGACCAAUUUCCAAACUUUGCUUCUCUCGAACUGAUUAAGUUCUUCCUACAUGGCCUCUAUCCAGCUGGAAUCUUCCAUAGCAUCCUCUAUCUUCUUUGGUUCUAUUUGAGAUAGGAAGCUUAGAUAGAAGCAUUCAUUUUGAGUAGCAACUCUUGUCUUGAUUCUUGCGUUCGGAUCUCUAAUGAUUAGAUCUUGAGUGUGAUCUCUUGCCCAUCUGCUUCCUGUUGGAACAUCCAUUUUUAUGCCUUCUUGUCUCAGAUCUUCAAGAUUUAUUUCUUCUUCUUGAUGUGGAGGUUCAUUGUCUGGCAUAGGCCUCUCUACGAUCUCAUUCUCUUGCUUAACGAUUUCAUUAUUGGGCACUACGAUCAUAGUAUUGGGCUCGACGACCUCGUUCGCAUUGUCUUGGAGCACUAUUUUGUCUAAGUCUGUUUCAUCAAAGAUGAUGUGAAUUGAGACUUCUACACUCAGUGUCUUCUUGUUGAACACUCUGUAGGCAUUGCUGUCUGUGGCAUAUCCAAGAAAGAUUCCUUCGUCUGAUUUCGGUUGAAACUUUGUCAAGUACUUCUUUCCAUUGUUGAGUAUAUAGCAUGCACAGCCGAACACAUGAAAGUAGCUGACAUUUGGCUUUCUUCCUUUCCAAAGUUUAUAAGGAGUCUUCUUCAUCGUAGAGAGUAUGAGUGAUCUGUUCUGAGUAUAACAUGUAGUGUUGACCGCUUCUGCCCAGAAGUACUCCGGUAGAUGAGCUGCAGCUAGUAGAGUCCUUCCAGCCUCUAUUAAUGUCCUGUUCUUUCUCUCAGCAACUCGAUUUUGUUGGGGAGUUCAUGGAACUGAGAAGUUGUGACUAAUCCCAUUGUUUGUGCAGAACUGAUCCAUUUUUGAGAAAUCGAAUUCUCUGCCAUGAUCACUUCUUAUGUUCUUGAUUUUCUCUCCUUUCUCAUUCAUCACCAGCUUGAACAUCUUGAUUAGUUGGGGGCUUGUUUCAUUUUUUGAGGUUAGAAAAAAUACCCAUGUAAAUGUGGUGUAGUCGUCGACUACGACCAGUGAGUAUCUCUUUCCCCCAUGGCUCAUCAUUGGAAUUGAUCCAAAAAGAUCCAUAUGUAGUAAUUACAGAGGCUUGUCAAUUGAGUUGAUGGUUUUUCUCUUAAAUAAGCUUCUGGUCUGUUUCCUAAGUUGACAGGCAUUGCAGGGCCUUUCUUUAACGAAGUUGAAUUUGGGUAGGCCUGCAACUAGAUCUUUUGAAGCUAAUUUGGACAUGCUUUUGAAGUUGAGAUGAGAUAAUCUUCAAUGCCAUAGCCAGCUCAUUUCUUCAGAUGCUUUAGUCAUAAAGCAUAUUGUCUCGUCUGAGCUUAGUUGUCCAAGAUUUACUGUGUAGACAUUUCCUUCUCUUGUUCCGGUUAGCUUUACUGCAGAUGUCUUCAGGUCUCGGACUUGACAUUGAUUGUUGAUGAAUGUUACUUGAUGACCCUUGUCAUAGAGUUGGCUAAUGCUUGGAAGGUUGUGCUGUAGUCCUUCCACAUAGGCCAAUUUACUGAAUGAUACUGCACCAUUUUCGGCUGAGCCAUAGCCUCUUGUCUUGCCAGUGCCAUUAUCUCCAAAUAUGACUGAGGGACCUUCCUUCUCUAUGAAGUUAGACAGAAGGGCUUUGUUCCCAGUCAUGUGCCUUGAACAUCCACUAUCCAGAUACCAGGUUGUGUUUGUGGAGCUCCUUUCCUGAGGUAACAUUAAGCCUUCAUUUUGGUACCCAUAUUUGCAUGGGUCCUACUAUGUUAGUACCCUUGGGGACCCAAAUCUGCUUUAUUUUGGGUCUCACGUGCAUGGAAUUAUAAUGAUAAUUCGCAGCCUUAUGACCAACUUUGUGGCAUUCAAAGCAUUUGAUAUGAUGCAUGUAAGUGUGUUUGUGAAAGUUCUUCCUCCAUUUGGACUUUUGUGGGUUAUUGGUCAUCCUUCUACUAGGUUGAUAUCCCCUUUUCCAUGUGUUCUCUUGUUUCAUUAAUUGAGGAGAGUAUAUCUCACUUCUACUGUGUCUUCCUGGUUGGUUCGUAGAGUUGAUUUUAUUGGACUCUACGAUCCUUCGAGGUUGAUAAGUAGUAGCUAGAUUACUUCUCUUUUCUGAAACCUAGACCAGCAUGAGAUCCCUUACUCUUGGGAAUAUGAAUUGAAUUAUCCAGACAGGGUUUGACAAGCUCAUCAUUCUGUGAGGAUUUCACAAAUAUAAUGCCUUUACUAAAACCUGAGGCAUUACUAGUGUUAACAUCCUUUGUUUUUUCCACACAUGACUCUGAGAUAGAUCCCCCAAAGCCUAGCCAUGUUCUAUCAGAGACAUUUCUCUGAUUAGAGAUUAAAGAAUCCAUGAUUGAAGAAGAUUUAUUCUAUGUGGAGAUGGUCUUUUUUAGAUCCUCAAUUUUUGAGGUUAGACUAGACUCUUGUUUUGCACUAAGCUCAUUUGUUUAUCUUAAGAGCUUAUUCUCAGCUUCAAGCUCAGAGAAAGAAUUAGCACUGAGAAGGGUUGUUUCCAGUUCUUCUUGAACCUUUUCUUUCUCCUUUUUAAGAAGUGAAUAAUCCUUAGACAGAACUCUAAACCACUUCAUGUAUUGGUGUAGAUCAGAUGUUAUGCCAUGCAAUGUAGUUCUAAGAUCAUCAAUAUCUACAUCAGGAGAGUUAAAGUCAAAUACCUCAUCGAUACUUACUUCGUGUAUGUUAGAGUUCUGUUUGUCCCUUGCAUUUUUGACCAUCAAGCAGAGAUUUGCUAUUUGAGGGUCUUCAUCAUCCCCAGAUUCAGGAGUUGAGUCAUUGUCUAAGUCACUCCACGAUCCUCCAGCUACAAGACCUUUUUCUUUCUUCUGUGGCCCUUUGUUGCCUCUGUAUUCUUUCUUUGAAUGAGAUUUCUUCUUGAGUUCUUCUCUAAGAGGUUUGUUACAAUUUGCAAUAAAGUGGCCUGAUUUCUUGUAAUUGUAGCAUAGGUCAUUCAUUUGCUCCUGGCUGCUGUAGUUGCUGACUUUCUUUGGCUUGUUGGUUUUGCCUCGUCGCAUGAACCUUCUUAGCCUUUUCACUAGCAUUACAAGGUCCUCAUCAUCAUCUUCAUCAUAAUCAGAAUCAACUUCAGUGCUGACUUUGGAGGCGUUAUCUGUUGCUUUAAGGGCUACACCUUUAUCCUUCUGCCUACCUUCAGAUAAGGUUUCUGCUCGUUGAGUCAGCUCCAGUUCAUAUGUGAGAAGGUUGCCAUACAACUGUUGAACAGUCAUUUCAUGUAGAUUUUUGGAUUCUCUAAUGGCAGUGGUUUUGGCAUCCCACUUGCUUGGUAAGGCUCUCAUGAACUUUAUGAUUAGAUCUUUGUUAGGAUAGAUCUUCCCAUAGGCUCGUAGAGAGUUGAGCAGUACAUUAAAUCUUUCGUAAGUGGCAGUAACGUUCUCUCCUUGAACGUGAGCGAACAUCUCAUAUUGCUGAGUCAAGAGAGAUUGUUUGUUUUCUCUGACUUCUUCUGUUCCUUCAUGCAUGAUGAGCAGUGUUUCCCAAACCUCCUUCACUAUUUUGCUGCUGACCACAUUUUUGAACAGAUCAUCUUUUAAAGAUUGGAACAAGAUGUUUUUGGCCUUUUUCUCGAGCUGGAUAGCUCUCUUCUCGUUCUCUGUCCAUUCUUCCUUGACCUUGAUCUGUACUCUGUUUGGGUCAUCUGUAGUUGGUGCAAGCUUUGUAGGAACAUAGGGUCCAUUCUGAACAGUUUCAAAUAGAUCUUCAUCUAUUUCAUCUAUGUAAGCUUGUAUCCUAACCUUCCAGUUAGCAAAUUUUUCUUUGUUGCACAUUGGUGGCUUGCUGCCUCCUCCAGUCUUUGAUUCGCUUGGUAAGUGUGCCAUUGGAUCUACUUAAGCUUUGUAGGUUGUAUUAUAGAACCUUCUUUGAUACCAAUUGUUAGUUCCCAGUAGGCACGAUAGAUAUCUAGAAGGGGGGUUGAAUAGAUAAUUAAAACUUUUCUUUUAAUCUUUUUAAGUUGAUGGCAAUCAAUGCACAGUGGAAUGAGUAUAUGUGAAAAACCUUCUGUUAUAUAUCUUGAGUUAAUGAGAUUAAGACAGUUAUGACAGUUAUAGCAAAUAUUGCAGUUAUAGCAGUUAAUGAACACAAUAGUUUUAAGUGGUUCAGAGCACUAAAAGCUCCUAGUCCACUCUUCUACCCCGUGAGUAGGAAAUCCACUAAGUAUGUCUGUUACACUUCUUGAAUCUCACAGAUUCCUUCUAGACCAGCAGUCUAGAUACUUCUUAGUUCACUCUUGAACUCUUCAAGUCCAGUAGACUUGGUUUCUCACAGUUCACUUAGAACUCUUCAAGUCCUUCAGACCUGGAACUCUUACUUCAGUUGAUUGAAUGUUGUUUAGAUCGUGAUUGAUGCUAUUCAGUUUCUAGUAAGCACUUGUUCGAAAGAACUGAAUAGCUGAGCAAGCUUUUCCUUUUUCUCAGAUCGUAGAGUUGAGUGUUGAGUGUUCUUAUGCGUUUUUUUCGUUCAAUACUUGCUUCUUCUUUCUCAUCUGUCUUUGAUCUGUAUAUAUAUGAUCUUGAAAUCUAUCUGUUGAAGUCAUCUGAUGAGCCAUUAAAUGUGUUUGACAUUUUUGAACUUUGAUGGAAACUUUUCUGCACAUCUUCUGAAUUACACUCUGGCCCACUGACACAGCAGACUGCUUUCUCACCUAACACCUCAAAAGGUGUUUUCCUCUGCCCAAUGGUCCUUUUCUUAGCUUCUUGAGUACAUUUCUUUUGAUCAAUACUAAGGAUAUCUUUUGUACGUUGGGACUGGUGAGAGCUUCAAUGUUCAAAACCCAUUCCAUAUUUGUUGGAGUCCAUCUUCAGAUGAACGAUAGGGCUUGAUGUUUCUGACACAAAGCAGAUGACACUCUACUAUCAAUAUCAUAAUGUCUUGUCAUAUUGGUGCCUGUUCGUAAGAGAUCACUACGAUUUCUCACAAGGAUUUGCACACUACGUUCUUCACUUGCUCGUCUUGUAAACUCUACAUUUCCGAGAGCACACUAAAAUAUUUUAACACUACGAUCUUCACUUGCUCGUCUUGCAGAUUCUGUGUUUCCGAGAGCACACUACGAUCUCUGAGUUAGUUUCGGCAAAAGUCUGGACCACACCUCAAUUCGUGGAGAGGCCCUUCAAGGCAGAUACACUACGAUCAUCUCAGCACUACGAUCCUGCCUUAGCUUUUGCAUUCUGUUGAUCAGCCGGAUAGACUGCGAGUGAACAUUAAAGACUAAGAUCAACCUAACACUUUUGAUCUAUCACUAAGUCUUUGUACAUAUAUUCUUUGAAGGACUUUACAUAAUCAUGAGUAGUUUCAUAAAACAUCAAAUCAUAAUAUGCAUUCUUCCAACAACUUGCUUAAUAAAGAUUAAGAUUUAGAUGUUUGGCUUGUUCGUAGACUAUUGACACAAUUAAGCUUAACUUGUUCUCACAAAGCCUACAUAAUUAUAUUCGCAUUCAUAAGCAUAUUAGUCCAAUAUUCAAGUCACAUAGCUUGUAUAUUCACAUAUCAUAUAAUCACAUUGAUUAUAUUUUUAGUUUGGGUUUUUACUUUUGAGUUACUUGUAUACAUUUUUCAAACACCUCAUCCAUAUUCUUACCAUAACCAUUUUCUUCUUUAAUAGGUUUGACAUAAUCUCAGUUCAUGAAUCUCAUACAAUUUUAAUUCAUAUUGAUCCUUUUGUAUUUUACUAUAUGAAUAUUUCAUAAUUUCCUUUAUAACUUAAGUAUUCCAGGUGAAUACAUAAGAUAUUUUAUGACUUGACUAUGAUUGCGUAUCAUAGGAAUAGAAUCAUAGUUUUCAAUUUACUUUCCAACUCAUAGUAACCAACUAAUCACUUAAACUUAUUACAUUCCUAAGGUAUUCCAAAACAGUCCUCUUGUAACAUUAGCAAUCCUUUAAGGUACUAACAAUUUUAACUUGACUUAAUAGUUCCAUUUUGUUAUACCAAUGCAUCAAUUAUUUUUGCUUUCUUCUAUGAUGUCAAAACAGCCAUUUGAGACUUAAACAGUCCCAACUUGGCUUAAUACAUCCAAUCCAUCCAUGUUAGCUUCUAUUUCAAAGCUUACUAACUUACUUAUACAACCCUUGAGUCCAUUCAAGAUUUAUUCAUAUAAUCUAAUGUGUUAAAGCUAACAUGUAUUAACAUCCCACUAAACAGUACCCUCCAUGUUUCAUGCUUAAAAAAAUAAUUUUAACCUUUUUAUUUGUUAUUUAGAAACUUUUAAAUCCAAACCUUAUGGACAGAUCUUCAACCUAAUCCUAAAGUUAAAGUAACUAGUCUAAAACUAUUAUAACAGCCACUUGUUGUCAACUGCUACUACCCAUAGGCAGCAGCCCCCAUCCCUUGCCCAUUAUUUCAUGCGAUUAUAUUCAUUUACAAUGACAUUUUUAAUAAUAUAGGGAUGAUUUAUACAUAUAUAAUAGUAUGCCAAUAGCUGGGCACUUAGAGCAACAUAAGUGCAAUGAAUGAAAACUCAGGAAGAGCUCCCAGCCCAUGCCACUCAUGCUCACUGCUACUGCCGAGGCAACUGCCCUGUCCCCCUAGUUCCAAACUAUAACUUAUUUACUCUUAUAUGAUACUAUUUUGGGAGACAAGGCACUUUGCCUACCUCUCUAUUUAACAAAUGUUAAACAAGUUGUUUAAACAUCUUAAAUUAAAUCAACUGAGAGCCCCCAACUAAUGCUAUACACAUCCAUUGCUGCUGCUAUGGGCAGCAUCUCUAUUCCUUUUCUCAGGCCAUUUUUGGUACUUCAUUUAGUAAUCCAUUCAUAUCCCACCUUUUCGUUUCCAUUUAAUAAGCUUACACACUCUAACUAUCAUCAUGUAUUGCAUACAUAUUCAGUCCAAGCUUUAACUCCAUCACAUAAUCAAUUUUUAAGCAAAACAGUCCAUUUGGAACUUUUAUCGAACAGUUAGUGUGCACAGUUUUGAUACACAACCUUUAUAGCUAUAGGUUUGCUCUUCCAUCCCAUGUAAGCCUCUUUAUUCCUCCACACAACCAACCUAUCUCCUCUAUUCUAAUUUCACAAACAUGGUUUCAUAUCAGCCACAUAUAUAUGUACAUAUGUAAUCAACAAUUAGCACACUGAGUAGUUUUAUAUAUUAAAGAAUACAAUUCCUUUGACUUACAAAGUUUUAGGGAAAAACCUCCUAUUUGGGUAUUUUACCGAAUACUUCAUCAUUUCAGAACUUUAAUUUCCAUAAACAUAUAGCACAUACCAGAUUUUAUACGGAAGUUACGUGCAACAAACACAGAGACCCAAUUUCCUUUAAACCUAAUACAUACAAAUGAUUUAACACCUAAUAGUAAAGUAACAUUACCUCUUUGGUUUACUUCACUAUUAUCCAAAUUUGGAGCUUAGUUCAACUUCUUUUCUCCCAGUUAUUGAAUAUCAACCCAAUUCUUCAAAGAUCAUCAAAGUUUCAAGCCUUUUCCAUUCAUGGAAUUAGAGAAGUAGGAGGUAAAUAUACAUAAAUUUGUUAUUUGGAGAACUCUGAACAUGAAGAGCAAAGUUUUGAAUUAUAGGAGACCCAGGGGUGAGCAUGGUGCGGUUUGAAGUCCAAACCGCACCUGAAACCGCUUAGAUGCGGUUUAAAAAAUUCAAGAUCGCACACAAAACCGCUUGUGAUUGAUGCGAUGCGGUUUUAAACUGUGCGGUGUGGUUUCAAUUGGUGCGGUUUCGGUUACAAAACCAAUUGAAACAACAAAAAAGUCUAAGUCUUCAAUACAAUUUAACACAAAGCUCACAUCGAGCAUUUAACUUAGUGACAGAGUCGGCAAUGAGAAUUAUAUCUAAAAGAAUAUGAUCCCUUGAUCUUUUCUCAUUCAUCCCUUGGUAAUAUAUACAGAGUAUAGACAAAUAUUAUGCCUACAAGUUAGGCUAAGAAUAAGGAAACGGUAUAAUUUUACAAUAGAAUAAUAUCCUAAAUUAAAUAUAAAAUAUUUACAAUAAUAAUGAGAAUAAUCACAUAUAUUCUAUCACACCCCCGCAGUUGAAGCAGGAGGUUGUCGAACGCUUAGACUGUCCCGGAAGUCAUCAAAAAGUAUGCGCGGGAGCCCUUUGGUAAAUAUGUCAGCAAUCUGAUAACGUGAUGGAACAUGAAAGACACGCACUUUGCCACGUUUUACCUUUUCACGAAAAAAAUGAAUGUCCAUCUCAAUAUGUUUAGUGCGUUGAUGUUGUACUGGAUUGCCGGAGAGGUAUAUCGCACUCAUAUUGUCGCAGUAUACAAGGGUUGUCUUGUGGACCGGACAAUGAAGUUCCAGGAAUAAAUUUUGGAUCCAACAGGAUUCAGAGACAACAUUGGCAACCCCUCGAUAUUCAGCCUCGGCACUUGAUUUAGAUAGUGUGGGUUUCCGUUUAAAGGACCAUGAAAUCAGGUUGUCACCAAUGAAUAGACAAUAACCAGAGGUGGAGCAACGUGUGUCAAGACAGCCACCCCAAUCAGCAUCUGUAUAAGAAAGGAGAUAAUCAAGUUUAGACUUAUACAGAUGCAAACCAUAAUUAAUCGUUCCAUGAAUAUAGCGUAGAAUACACUUGAGAGCAUCCAUGUGCUCGACUUUCGGAUCAUGCAUAUGUAAGCAUACCUGUUGAAUCGCGUAGGAGAUAUCUGGCCUGGUAAAAGUAAGAUAUUGCAAAGCACCAGCUAGACGGCGAUAUUUAGUUGGGUCCUCAUAAGGCUUGCCAGUAGAAACACUGAGUUUCCCUUUUGUGUCAACAAGAGUGGGACAUGGCUUGCAACCUAUCAUACCAGCUCUUUUAAGUAUUUCCUGGGCAUAUUUUGUCUGUGAGAGAAAAAGGCCAUGGGCAGUCCGGGUGACUGCAAUACCCAGAAAAUAACUCAACUGUCCCAAAUCCUUCAUUGCGAACUCAGAACUGAGAAGAGACAUGAUUGAUAAUCGAAGAGCAUCGGAGGAGGCCGUGAGAAUUAUAUCAUCAACAUAUAAUAAAAUAUAAGCAAUGUCAGAUCCAUUUUUGUAGAUGAACAAAGAAUGAUCGGACACACUAUGAGAGAAACCAAUAGUGGCUACAUAGUCUGCAAAGCAUUGAUACCAGGCAUGAGGGGCUUGCUUAAGACCAUAGAGUGAUUUCUUCAACAAGCAGACAUAGUCAGGAUGAACUGCAUCCUUGAAACCUAAAGGUUGAUAUUUAUAAAUAGUUUCAGUUAGAUUACCAUGAAGAAACGCAUUUUUAACAUCCAACUGAUGAAUGGCCCAAGAUUUUGAUAAUGCAAUGCUCAAAACUAUAUGAAUAGUGGCCAGUUUAACAACCGGGCUGAACGUCUCAUCAUAGUCCACUCCAGCUUUUUGAGACCUGCCAUCACCUACAAGAUGGGCUUUAUGCCUCUCAAAAGAACCAUAAGAUUUCUUUUUAUGUCUAAAAAUCCACAUUGAACGAAGAACAUUAACAUCAGAUGGACGAGGUACUAAUUUCCACAUCUUAUUUUGAAUAAGAGCAUCAUAUUCAUCCUGCAUGGCCAAUUUCCAAUUCGGGUCAUUAAGUGCACUCACGGGGUUACGGGGUAUAGGAGAGAUAGAGGUAGUGGUCGAGAGGGCACUUAAGUUAUGGUAUUUAGGGUUGGGCUUGUGUAUACCAUGCUGACUCCUAGUUCCCAUUCGAUGGGCUAAAGGAGGAGGUCGAAUGGAUGUAGUGGAAAUUGGGCCGGGUGGAAUGGAAGUUGGGGUUGGCGUGGCAGUGGGAAAAGGGGAGCGAGUGGGCUGGGGAGUGGGUUGUGUUGCAACGCGGGCUGGGGAGGAAGGGGGGGAUGUUUGUGUGGGCGAAGAGGGAGGCUUAGCAAGUGAAGUGGGUGGCUAAGUCUGUAGAUCUAAUGAGGUAGUCGCAUGCAAUUGAUGAAGGAUAUGGGGAUGCAAACCAUCAUCUAAAAUUCAUAGGAGGAAGGAGAGGGAGUAUGAAGUGUCAAAAAAGGAAAUUUAGAUUCAUUAAAAAGAACAUGUUGGGAAAUAAUAAUUUUCCGAUUCGAAAUAUCAUAGCAUUUAUAACCCCGAUGGUUUGACGGAUAGCCUAAGAAGACACAUAGAGUCAAACAGGCUUGUAAUUUAUUAAUGGUGGUGGAAGGACAUAAAGGGUAACACAAACAUCCAAAAACUCGAAGAUGGGUGUAAUCUGGAGUUUUUCCAUAAAGAAUUUGAGUAGGAGAGUACUAGCUUAAUGUCUUUGAAGGAAGAAUAUUGAGAAGGUAUGUUGCUAUUUCGAGAGCAUGAGGCCAAAAGGAGGGUGGCAUGGAAGCAUGAGCAAGUAAAGUACGAACCAUGUUAUUGAUAGUUUUUAUUUUUCGUUCGGCUUUACCAUUUUGAGGAGAGGUAUGGGGACAUGAGAAGCGAAAAUACAUACCAUUUAAUUCACAAAAUUUUCUAAAGGGACCAUUGUCAUACUCGCGGCCAUUAUCACAUUGAAAUUGUUUAAUUUCUUUUUCGAAUUGAGUUUUGAUAUAUGCUCUAAAUGAUAAAAAAAAAAAUAGAAUAAACUUGUGAUUUUCUAGACAUAGGAAAAGUCCACAAGAAAUUACUAUAAUUAUCAAGAAAAAGAGCAUAGUAACGAUGACCGGAUGAGCUUAAUAUAGGAGAUGUCCAUAAGUCACUGUGAAUUAUAUCAAAUGGCAUAAUAGUAAAAGAACGAGAAUCAUUAAAUGGAAACUUAAUGUGUUUUCCAAGAGGACAAGAUUCACAAAAAGAAUUGUGAACCUUAUUAUAUUUAAUAAAAUUGCUACUACGAAGAGAAUUCAAAACGACAUUUCCAGGGUGCCUUAAACGAGAAUGCCACAAAUCAAAAGAACUAACAGGAAAAGUAGAAGGUAGAGCUGAAGGUGGUGGGCCCCGAAGUUUGGUGAAGGGAUAGAGAUCGCCCGAGCUAUCACAUCUCAGUAGGUGCUUCCCCGUCUGUAAAUCCUUCACAGAAAAUUCAAAAGGAUCAAAUUCAACAGACACCAUAUUAUCAUUAGUAAAUUUGCGAACUAAGAUGAGGUUUUUAAUAAGUUGAGGUGCAUGCAACACAUUUUUAAGCUUCAAAGGUGGAUUUGUUUGGGUUAGUGAGGCACUUCCAUAACCAAGAAUCGAGAUUGUAUGACCAUUACCAAUAAUAAUGCCAUUAUGUUUGCUCAAAUUAAAAUAAGACGAGAGAGUACCAUGAUUAGCAGUCAUGAGGUGGCACCGGUAUCCAUGUACCAAUUUUCAUCCAGUUGAUGGAGGGAGAGAGUGUGCAUAGCUGCAUCAAUAUCUGUAGGUUCGUAGUUCACACUUAGGGAGGCUGCCGUGUAGUGGGCUUGGGAAGGUUGAGGCCCAAGAACUCCUUUUGUAGAUGAUGGACGGAUCUUCCCUAUAGUGGGAAAUGGGCAAGGUGGGUUGGACCAAGUGUGAGGUGACCAGGGAGCCCAAGGAGGCAUGGAAGCCCAUUGUUAUGGCCAUAAUGGUGCUAAAGGUCACUGCUGUCCCCCGCCACGAGAUCCACCAUGGUUGCCACUACGGCCACCACGACCAUCGCUGUAGUGGCCGCGCCGCCCACCACGGCCACCAUAAUUUCGGCUACCGGAAUUAUUAUGCCCAUUUGCAUUUGCUUGCUACUGUUUGGAAUUAUUGCCACCAGAAACAUUAUCAUUUGUUGAAUUCAUAAGCAAAGCAGAAUCCGAACCUGAUUCAAGAGCGGCACAUUAUUUCAUGCUUUCCACUUCUAAUGAAAACAUCGAACGGGAUUGUGCAAAGGUCGGAAGAGGAAUGCGGUGUUGAAUGAUGGUGACGAACCCCACAUAAGCUUCUGUCAAACCACGAAUCAUUUUGAGAACCAUACGCUCGUCGGAUACUUUUGCUCCCACGUUGGCUAAUUGAUCAGCCAACACUUUAAGUUGCUGGAAAUAUGCAACAACAUUAAGAAAGUCUCGAAGGAGAGUGUUGGUAAAUUGGGUUUCAAGGUGAAUGGCCCUCGUAUUGUUGUUGUCUUGGAAUAAAUCUGCUACACGGUUCCAAGCAUCUUUUGCUUCAUCAUUCGGAUCAAAGAUAGUGUUGAGAAUAUCCAAAGAAACCAUGCUAUAAAUCCAUUGCAUGACAAUGGCAUCCAUCCUCUUCGAAGUCGUUGUUUCGGCAUCCGUCUUGGCGGCGGCAGCUUCUGUAGGAGGGAUGAGGUGGUCAAGGACGAGGUUGGCGCGAGCAUGGAGCUUGAAGAGAGUUUCCCAGUUAUUGUAUUGGUCGUUUUCGAGAUCGAGAGUGAUGGGGAUGGCUGUUUUGAUAUUGGUGACGGUGGUGGUGGGAUGGAUUUUUGAGUCAGCCAUGGAUACAAGGAAGAAGAAGAUGGCAGAAGGUAGGGAGAGGAAGAAAACUAGGGCUUUGAUACCAUAAAAGAAUAUGUUCCCUUGAUCUUUUCUCAUUCAUCCCUUGGUAAUAUAUACAGAGUAUAGACAAAUAUUAUGCCUACAAGUUAGGCUAAGAAUAAGGAAACAGUAUGAUUUUACAACAGAAUAAUAUCCUAAAUUAAAUAUAAAAUAUUUACAAUAAUAAUGAGAAUAACCACAUAUAUUCUAUCAAUAUCAAGUAUAGAAACAAAGCUCCUUCUGCCAAACAUGUCAAACUCACCAUGAAAUCAUAGAACAGUGAGACAUAUAAAAUAACUUUAGUUUAUAAUAAAGGAAUGAUGUUUUAAAACUAAAAUAUACGUUAUAUAAAACACCGGAGACCAUAUAUUCGAUAACAAGUAAGAAGAUUUAUCUAGUUCCCCAAAAAUUAAAAGUAUAUACUGGAGAUAGAAUGAAAUUCUAUAUAUCUUAUAUAUUGCAGGGAGGACUUAUAGAAUAUAAUCAUAACUGUACCUAAUUUAAAAAAUAAUCUAUUAGACCAUUACUACUAUAGCAUAGACCUUAACCAAUGCAUCAAGUGCUCGAACCAAUGAAUUUGGCCCCUCAGCUAUAAGCCCCUCCAGUAACGCAUCAAACAAAUUCGAAUUUCCAAAACCCAAAUGUUUAAUUUUUGACUCAAUAACCUCUAACCAUCUUCUUUCAAUUGGUGAAAAAAUGACAAUGCAAGACUGGGGUUUUCUCUGAGCGUGUUCAAGUGAAAAGUAACUUUAGAAUUUACUAGAAAUAAUACAUACAUACAUACAUACAUACAUACAUACAUACAUAGUGUUGUUUUGGUUUUAUGCGUGCGGUUUUGGCUAGUAACCAAAUCGGAACCAUAAAUUUGGUUAUUCAACCCACUUAAAACCGCCACAUACACCGAAACCGUUGGUGCGGUUCGUGUGAUUUUUGGUGCGGUUUUGGUUCCAAUUUAAUUACUUGCUCAGCCCUAAGGAGAUCCAUACUUGGGUAAUAUAUUUUAUAGCUAUGAUUAGUAAUCUACAUAUUAUCCUAAUAAUACUCUAGCUCUAGCUUGAAAUAUUGAAUCAGCUUUACUUAACAUAAUGUAUACGUGGCUUAUUCUAGUCCUUCACAGCUCAGCUCUUUUAAACAUAAGGUUUGUUUAGUUUAUAAUAAUGAGUAUAACUCAUUUUAUUACCUCUUAGUACAUAUCGCAUCAUAUAUUAUGCAUUUUAAAUACAUACAAUGUAGUCCAAAAAAAUUCGGAUAAAAUAUCCAUAAAUUAGAUCCAUCAAAACGGAAGCUAUUUAUUAAAUAAAAAUAUUUUAUUUAAUAAAUAAAUCUUAUUAUAUUAAAAUAAUUUAUUUACCAUAAAUUACCAAUAUCCACUUAAAACAUCCAUUGCAAAAUAAUUUGCUUCCAUAAUUUAUUUAUGCAAUAUAUAUAUAUAUAUAUAUAUAUAUAUAUAUAUAUUGUGACGCCCCCAAAGUAGGUAUACAUUACCUAUUCUGAGUCGCCAAAUACAUAGUACAGAAUACAAAUACAAUCUUAAAUAUACAACAUGAGCUGUGAGUUUUAAUACAAAUAUUGUCUUCUAGACAGUAUUCAAACUCAAAAUAAGUCCUCAAUACAUUUAUUANNNNNNNNNNNNNNNNNNNNNNNNNNNNNNNNNNNNNNNNNNNNNNNNNNNNNNNNNNNNNNNNNNNNNNNNNNNNNNNNNNNNNNNNNNNNNNNNNNNNNNNNNNNNNNNNNNNNNNNNNNNNNNNNNNNNNNNNNNNNNNNNNNNNNNNNNNNNNNNNNNNNNNNNNNNNNNNNNNNNNNNNNNNNNNNNNNNNNNNNNNNNNNNNNNNNNNNNNNNNNNNNNNNNNNNNNNNNNNNNNNNNNNNNNNNNNNNNNNNNNNNNNNNNNNNNNNNNNNNNNNNNNNNNNNNNNNNNNNNNNNNNNNNNNNNNNNNNNNNNNNNNNNNNNNNNNNNNNNNNNNNNNNNNNNNNNNNNNNNNNNNNNNNNNNNNNNNNNNNNNNNNNNNNNNNNNNNNGCUGUGAGUUUUAAUACAAAUAUUGUCAUCUAGACAAUAUCCACACUCAAUUGAGUCCUCAUUACAUUUAUUAUCACACUAUUUAACAGAAUAGUGAGGACUACUAAUACUAUCAUCUGGACCGUCACUCCGUUCCCCGACUAGUCCCUGUUACGUUCUCAUUUCCUGAAGAGAACAAUGAAAGUAAAAGGGCGAGCUCAACUAGCCCAGUAAGAAAUAAUAUGACUAAGAUAAUACAGAAUAAAUUAUUGUUAGCCUUCAACAGUGUUAAACUGAUAUAACAAACAUCAAGUUUAACUGCAGCGGAACAAGCAAUCCAUUAAAAGAGUCAAGUAGAGAAUAAAAUCUAAUAUCUUCUAUGAUUUAAAAGGUUUUUCAUCACUUUUAUUGUUGAGACUCAGCUUAAUAAAUAAACCACAUCAUCCCUACACUACGGCCAAGGAUAUUCAUUAGUAUCACAACCACAAAUUAUCCAUGCACUACGGGCCAAGGAUAUUUGUGUAUUCAUCAAUGGUCAUGAUCAUGCCAAUAACUGUCCAUCAAUGCACUACGGGCCAAUAAGAAUUUUUACCACAUCAUUUGUAACUUUACGGUCAUGAUUAUACCGAAUAAUCCCUGGUCAUAAUCGUACCAAGUCCAUCUAUGCACUAUAGGCCACAGAUGACUUUCAACAUAAUAUAAACAUGAGGAUGAUGACAAUGACAUAAUAAUUCAAUAAAACAAGUUCAAGAAUAAAUUUUAAAGAUUUAUAAGUUAAUUUAUCCUGAACUCAUUAAUGUCCAAAUUGUCAACAUGAUAUUGCUUUGUGGAGUAAAAUUCAAGAAUGCUCAGAAGAAUAUUUCCAUCAAAAGAUACUAGAUGAAGCGCAAAUAUCCAGGAUAUUCUACUAAUUUCAUGGAGUAUAGAAGCCAAAACUUAAACCAAUUGAGUAUAAUAGAAUAUAUGAAACUGCAAAUGGAUUUUCGUCCGCCAUGCGGUAAUCCACGUAAAUAGAUCAUUUCCACAGUUUAAUAAGGAAUGAAUACAAAGGAUCAUUCACCAUGCAUGCGGUAAUCCACAUAGACAGGUUAUUCCAACAGAAUAAUAAAGAAUAGAACCAGAUCAUGCGUAAUCCGCACAGACAGGAUAUUCCAACAGAAUAAUAAAGAAUGGAACCAGACAGGAUGUUCCAAUAAAAUAAUAAUGAAUGGAACCAGGUCAUGCGAUAGACCGCACAGACAGGUUAUUCCAACAGAAUAAUAAAGAAUGGAAUAACAACAGAAUUCACCAGGCAUGCGAUAGACCACACAGACAGGAUGUUCCAACAGAAUAAUAAAGAAUGGAAUAAUAGAAAAAUUUCACCAUGUAUGCGGUACUUCGUAUAAACAGGUUAUUCCAACAUAAUAAUAAAGAAUGGAAUAACAGAAGAAUUUCACCAAGUAUAGGGUAGACCGCGUAUAUAGGUUAUUCCAACAAAAUAAAAAAAUGGAAUAACAGCAGUUCUCUUCAUGAAUACGAAAGAAAUAAUACCCCUUACCUUAGAAAAAACUAGAUAUAGGAGUAGUGAAGUAGCAAAAUACUUUUCUUCUUUCUCUCUAUAGUUUCUCUCUCUAGAGUUUCAGUGAAUUCGUAAGAAAUAAUGAAGGAAUGAGCUUCUAUUUAUAGGAGAAUGGAUUGAAUAGUAACUAAUUCAUGAACGGUCCAGAUUGAUUUACUUUUAAACAGACGAUCCAUAUUAAUUUACUAUGCAGUAUUAAUAAAAUAUUCUAAUAAAACAAAAUCUUUUAAAUNNNNNNNNNNNNNNNNNNNNNNNNNNNNNNNNNNNNNNNNNNNNNNNNNNNNNNNNNNNNNNNNNNNNNNNNNNNNNNNNNNNNNNNNNNNNNNNNNNNNNNNNNNNNNNNNNNNNNNNNNNNNNNNNNNNNNNNNNNNNNNNNNNNNNNNNNNNNNNNNNNNNNNNNNNNNNNNNNNNNNNNNNNNNNNNNNNNNNNNNNNNNNNNNNNNNNNNNNNNNNNNNNNNNNNNNNNNNNNNNNNNNNNNNNNNNNNNNNNNNNNNNNNNNNNNNNNNNNNNNNNNNNNNNNNNNNNNNNNNNNNNNUAUAUAAAAAGUUUUCUGUUUUAUUACAUUUAUAAUAAUAAUAAAACAAAACUUAUCACCUUUAUUAUAAUUCACAAUAUUAAUCGACCAGGUUGUUCCCAGAAAAGAGGGGGCUUUCCAAUAAGGAUUUCUCCCUAUUGGCGCGCAAUAGGUGACCAAACCUCUCCUUAGCAGAACUUCUAGACAUCGCUAAUAUUGCAAAUAAUAAUAUUAAUAACUUUGUUAUCUCAAUUAUUGAUUUAAUAAUAUAUAAAAUAUCGACAAUAAUUGAAUCAAAUAACGUGAGAGAUAUAAUACAGCAAUUACUGUAGCAAUAAUUAAGUAUAACUGAGUGACUUCUCAUGUAAGCAUCAAUAAUCAAUACUGUGUGCUACUAUGCAACCACGCGUAUUACUGUACUUUUACUACCGAGUAGUUCAACAGUUUUAACGGUAAAACUUUCGCCGUUAUUUUCAUAAAAAUAUUUUUGUCGUUUUCUCAAUCCGAUAAUAAUUCCGUUGUGGAGUCCACCAAUGAUUGUACCGUCGUACGAAUAUUCCCUGUUAAAAUGAAUAUUCCCCGACCAAUCGAAUAUAAUACAACAACUUCCAUACUCUGCAAAAUUUAUAAAUAUUACCCACAACUAUAACAUUAUAUCAAAUUCAUUCCAUAAUAUUCAAAAAAAUAUUUCAAGAAAUUUAAAUCUUUAUUCAUAAAAUUUAGAGUCACACACACACACACACACACACACACACACACACACACACACACACACACACACACACAUAUAUAUAUAUAUAUAUAUAUUUAUUUAUCACACCACGUAUCUCACAUACGUACAUUUUAUAUCGCAACAAAUAUGGUAUGCCACAUCAUGUAACUUGUUAAAAUAAAAUUUUAUUUGUUAAACUUCUAUUUUAUUUUUUUAGGAAAAAUGCAAUCACUACUUGAUAAGCAUGAAACAUGUAUAACUGCAUGCUAUGUAUGAACAUUAUGAUGUAUGAAUAAAUGCAAAACAUUAGAAAGUAUGAAGCAUGUAUAAAAUGCGGAACAUGAAAAAUGUAAUGUAUGUACAUUUGAAAUAAGAAUUAAGUGCUAUGUGAUAACUUCUAAAUUUGAUGGGCAACGUAGUUGUUCACCCUUGCUAUAAAUAAAUGUUUUUCAGCUAAGCUAAUGUUGAAGGAUAUGCGUUAAAGUAGAAGAAGACGAAUGCUUUAUGAUAAAAGCAGAUGUGUAUUAAUUGUAAUAUUUUUACAUGAUGUGAUAUUUAUUUGUAACAUAUGAUGUAUUACACUACAAGAAAAAGGGUUAUCUCCAAUGGAAUUAAUUCUGACCGAAUACAUUUCAUCGAUGUUAAUAUAAGUUCGACGGAAUAUUACGUCGACAUUAAUUGCGUCGAGGUUAGACUAAAGUCAACAGAUAUCCGUCGAAAUUAAGCUCAUUUACUUGGCGCGUAGAUUUUCUGCCAGCGCGAGUUUAAUGUCGACGGAAAAUUCGUCGAAAUUAAGCUCAUUUACUUGGUCCGUCGAUAAUAGCAAAAGGGCGACUGAAAUAAAAUCAACCGAAGUCCGUCGAACUUAUUCUUUUUUUAAAAUAAGCGUACCAGUAGCCCUAAUCUCUUUUCAUUCUUUUCCUUUCUUCCCUAAUUAGCAGCAACGGCGGUGAAUUUGGUCCAUAGCUCCUCCAUCUAAUCUCUCCUCCAUAUAUAUUUCUUCUCCUUCUCUCAUCUCAUCCAUAUUUUUUCCUUCUCUAAGCUCCCGCAUUUGGUCCAUAGCUCAUUUAAGGAGGUGAAUUCGACUGGGACUGUUACUGUGUGGUGGUACCGACGGCGGCGGCGGCGGUGACUUGGGUUCGGAGUGGUGGUGUCGGCUGGGGUGUUCUUCUUCCUCCAUAGUUAAGUUCUUUCAAUUUACAAGUUAGAGCUUAAUUUUUUUUGUUAUCAAGUUUAAGAAUUCCAAAAUUAUUUUUAGCCCUAAAUAACGGAAAUUAAAUUAUUGAUUGAUAUGUUCCCUAAAAUUAUCUAUAUUGGUUCAGCAUAUCUAUGUUGGUUUGAAUUAAGAAAUUAAAUUAUUGAUUGAUAUGUUCCUAAAUUGGUUUGAAUAUUCAGUGAAAUGCAUAUGAUUUACCUUAUAUUCAAUGAAAUGAAUUAUCUAUAUUGGUUCAGCAUAUCCAUUUUGGUUUGAAUUAAGGAUUCAUGUUGGUUUGAAUAAUUUGAUUUGUCUUGGUUCAAUAUAUCCAUUUUCUGCCUUUUUAUGUUAUAUGGAUUUGGUUCAAUUUGGUUCAUAUAUAUGAAAUGGUUAAGCAUAUCCAUUUUCUGCCUUAGAAUCAUGGAUUCUAGCAUUGUGAAUUGAAGACUUUGUGUGUCGAAUUAUUUCCGAUGGAAUUUCCAUGGAAGUUAUAGAUGGUAUUAAAUAAAUCAAUACUUAACUAUAAAAGACAAUUAGGACUUAGUUUGACACUAAAAUAAAAUAAAAAAACACAAUAAAGUUAUACAAAAUAAAUAAUAUAAUAAAAAAUAAAUUAAUUAACUAAAAUAAAUUAAUUAAUUAAGGUAAAUUAAAUUAAUAAUAUAAUACAAAAUAAAUAAAUAAAUAAAUAAAAUAAAAUAAAGUAAAAUAAAAUAAUUAAUUAAGGUAAAUUAAAUUAAAUAAUAUUAUUCAAAAUAAAUAAAAUUAAAUAAUAUAAAAUAAUUAAAAUUAAUUAAUUAAUUUAAAUUAAAUAAUAUAAUACAAAAUAAAUAAAUAAAUAAAUAAUAAAAUAAAAUAAUUAAUUAAGGUAUAUUAAAUUAAAUAAUAUUAUACAAAAUAAAUAAAAUUAAAUAAAUUAAAAUAACUAAAAUAAAUUAAUUAAUUACUUUAAAUUAAAUUAAUUAAUAUAAUUCAAAAUAAAUAAAAUUAAAUAAUAUAAAAUAACUAAAAUAAAUAAAUUAAUUAAUUUAAAUUAAAUGAAAUAAUAUAAUACAUAAUAAAUAAAUUAACUAAAAUAAAUUAAUUAAUUAAGGUAAAUUAAAUUAAAUAAUAUUAUACAAAAUAAUUAAUUAAGNNNNNNNNNNNNNNNNNNNNNNNNNNNNNNNNNNNNNNNNNNNNNNNNNNNNNNNNNNNNNNNNNNNNNNNNNNNNNNNNNNNNNNNNNNNNNNNNNNNNNNNNNNNNNNNNNNNNNNNNNNNNNNNNNNNNNNNNNNNNNNNNNNNNNNNNNNNNNNNNNNNNNNNNNNNNNNNNNNNNNNNNNNNNNNNNNNNNNNNNNGGAAGUUAUAGAUGGUAUUAAAUAAAUCAAUACUUAACUAUAAAAGACAAUUAGGACUUAGUUUGACACUAAAAUAAAAUAAAAAAACACAAUAAAGUUAUACAAAAUAAAUAAUAUAAUAAAAAAUAAAUUAAUUAACUAAAAUAAAUUAAUUAAUUAAGGUAAAUUAAAUUAAUAAUAUAAUACAAAAUAAAUAAAUAAAUAAAUAAAAUAAAAUAAAGUAAAAUAAAAUAAUUAAUUAAGGUAAAUUAAAUUAAAUAAUAUUAUUCAAAAUAAAUAAAAUUAAAUAAUAUAAAAUAACUAAAAUAAAUAAAUUAAUUAAUUUAAAUUAAAUGAAAUAAUAUAAUACAUAAUAAAUAAAUUAAUUAAUUAAGGUAAAUUAAAUUAAAUAAUAUUAUACAAAAUAAUUAAUUAAGGACUUCCUUGUAUGCAGGGUUCGACAUAGCAGUUGCAGCUAAUAGUACUCCAACCGGUUCCUCGACAGCAAUUAAAAAAAAGGGUCGUAGUUUCUGUUUAUGUCUUAUACUCGAAUAAUAAAGUUAAUUGAAUUAUUACAGACAUUCCUCACUGUUCCAUCACAACAGAUGCCAACAUACGGAAGAAGUGCCAUUAAGUUGUUGAACAAAGUUCUAGGUUAAGCAACCCUCUAGAUGAGCGAACGAUCACUUCUCUACUAGGAAUGAAUCAUUGCCUGAUAUGGGUCUAAUCCAUGACAUAGACAGUUUCUCACCACUCAAAAUCCCUCACGUGUCAUGAUUAUGAUCGACCGAAUUUCCUCGACAGACUAUUUUCAGUCGGAAUUAUACUAAGACCGACUGAAUAUUCGGUCGAUGAUAAGUCCGUCGACAGUAAGUAUCCCCGACCGAAAGACCGACAGACCGACAGACUUAAUUUCGACCUGCUUAUAUACGACCGAAGUUCCGACCGAAUAUUCCGUCGGAAAUGAGGUUAACCUCAACGGAAUAUCCUUAUUACCGACGAAAUAUUCCGUCGGAAAUAAGCCUUUUUAUUGUAGUGUUAGUAAAUGUCUUAGAACCUAAGUUUAGAUGAGAUGUAUUGUAAUAAAUAUAGAGAUUAUAUUUAUGAUGUUAAAGUUAUGAUGGAUGAUUAGCAUCGUGAAGCAUCGGAUCCGGACUUGAAGAUAGACCCAGAGUUUAGGGGCUUUACAAUUAGCUCGACUAAAAAACAAGUCGAGUCAAAUCAAACUCGAUCGAGUAAAAUAAAACGAGUGAAAUUCAAAUUUGAGUAAAAAUUGUGAAAUCAUAAUUCGACGAAUCAAAAUAUUUUAAAUAGCUGCAAGUAGAAUCUGAAUAAAGUAUUGCUUAACUCUACUCAAGAUCAUUUAAAUCUUGAUGUUGGAGUAAAUAAUAAAAGUGCAUCUGUUAUUGUCAAAAUUUUAGAGAUUGGUAGUAACAAAUGGUAAAAUAGAGUAUAUGUUUUAGACACAAAUUUAUAAUAAUUUGUGGUAUAUUUUAUUAAGAUCUAGCGACGUUUCAUAUAUUACGGUUUUGUCAAUUCACCAAUUUCAUUAAUAAUUAUUUUGACAAUUUACUAAUUUAACAAUUAAAAUUACGUCAUAUUAAGUAUAGUACAUACAUAAACUUGUAUAUAUUUAAUACACACAUUCCAUUUCCCUUUAAUAAUAAUAAAAAAUUGCUUGCGAUAACUAAAAUAUGUACCACUAGAUGUGUCAAUAGUACAUAAUCUGUACUUGAGUAUAUAAGGAGUACCAAAAUACUUCUUCUGGAGAAAUAAUAUUUUUUUUGGGUCCAAAUAUAAGAUUAAUUUCAUUUUAAAAAAUCAUUUUAAGACAUUCUUAAAUUCAAAAUUGAUACGAUUUACUUAAAUUCAAAAAUAAUAAAUAGUUUUAUUAAUAGUAGUUAAUACUUUUUAAAUAAUUUAAAAUAUCUAUAAUUGUAUUGACUAAAUGUAAUAACAUAACUAAAAAACGGACACAAUAAUAGAAGAUAAUAUUUACAAAAUACCUUUCCUUUUUAAGGAAUAUAUAAUUUAAACUUUAUAAUAAAUGCUUUUAAUAACUAUUAUUAAAUUAUGGUCAACUUUAGAUAGAUUGAAGGGCAAUUUAGUUUUGAAAUAUUAUUAUUCUAUAUAUGUGAAUUUCAAAUGCUGUCAUUUGAUUGUGUUUUUUUCCUUUUUCUUCAUUUAACUAUGUUUAAGUUAAUAUUAUCGAGUUUCAUAAUCUCCAAAAUACAAAAAAUACUAAUUUUUUUGAACGAGAGUUAAUUAUGGAGAAUUAAGUCAUUAAUCUCCCUCUUAUCAAAAAAUUGAUUAGAAUAAUAUAUUUCUCUUUGACUUUUCUUGCAAAAUUUAAAUUUGUGUAGUAUAUAAUUAACAUUUUGAUAACAAAUUUUAAAACUAUAACUCAUUAUCUAAAAAUGAUGUUUAAACUCAUACUUUAGCAUUAUGCCAUUUGCAAAACAAUACAAAAUGAUCCAAUUUUUUGAUUGUCCAAAAAUUUAGGGUUAGUCUUCCCGCCUCCAAACUGUCUCUUAUUAGACAAUCUAUACCCUACAUUCACUUUAAAAAUCCACGUGGACGGUAAACAUUAAAGAGUUGUAUAUUUUCCAUUUUUUGUCAUCUUAUGAUUUGAAACUAGAUUCUGCUUACAUAAACAACUACGGUAUUGCUUGGUAGAAGCUCUUGUUUGAUUGAUUGUAAUUGAGGAUCAGAAAUAUUUGUAUGAAAUGUCCUACCUGAGGAGGAGGGAGGGAUAUCCUAACCCUACUAUCAUUUUGCCUUUGCAAUGUUACUUGGUUGAACUCUAUUUGAGAAAUCCUUCUCUAUACAAGUUCUUGAAUUUCAUCACCUCGUAUCCAUUCGCUUCGUAAUGGGAUCAAGUAGCGGAGGCAUUGGCUUGGUAUGAACAUGCAUCUUUCCGUUUCGACGAGUCUUCAUUCUCGAUGACGGAUGAGUAAAUCCUUUAGCGGCAUACCUGGAAUGCAAUGUGAUAGAUGGUAGAGGGCUGCUUGCGUCCAAAAGGGAUGAUUCACUUGUCCCCUUGUUCAUAGAGAUCUUGUGGCAUACAACCGAAACGAUUCCCGCUAGAUAGCCGCCCAUUUCUCUCUUUUUAUAGCCAUGUAGACGGACGAAAGAAGGGAUGAAACAAAAUUUAAUACGAGAAAUGCUAUUUAUAAUAGAAUGUAUAAUAAAUUUAAGUUUUUGUAUCUUGCUUGAAAUUAAAAUGUAUCUGUUGAUCGAUUUCGCAAUCAAUGAAUACGUGCAAGUAUACAUGGUCAACAAGUAAUAAAGUGAAAGUAGAGUAUCGUUCCCACGAGGAAUUAUUUAAUAAAAAUUACCAAUUACUAACUCUUAACCAAAUCAAUUUUAUUUAAACAAUAGCAAAUUAUGAAUUUUCUAAUUAAGAAAACUAAAUUAAACAAUUAAAACUAAGAUUUUAACGAAUGAAUUCAGGUAAAUAAAGAUUAAGACUCCAAUAUCCCCAAUUAUGAACUAUAAACCAAUUAUCCAAUUAUCCCAAUUAUUAUGUCUACUGAAUUGUUAACAGGAAUUCUCAAAUGCCAAAAGCCUUUUUCCAAGUGAUCAAUUGCCUUCUAUUUAAUCCAGAUUAAUUUUGCUAUAUUUCUAUGCAAAACAAUUGAAUUAAACUCGUUACAAUCCCAAUUCCUUAUGUGUUACAUGCGGCAAAUAGAUAUUCUCAUUCUAUUCACAAACCUAAUUAUUCACUGUGCAAAUAACUAAGUCACAUGUCACCAUGCCCAGUUCUAACCCUAGAAUUCCUUUCUCAAUUCCUUCUAGAGUAACAAGGUAAUUACUGAUCAGAUAAUUAAUCAAUAAGCACAAAGCAAGAUGAACAAUUCACUUCAACAUAAAUAAUUAGAAUAAAUCAAAUAAUCAAUUCAUAAUCAUAAAAAGUUCAAUUGAAAUCUUAAUGAAAGAGUUAGUUCAUAAUUAAUGAAUUAAAAUCAAGAAUCCACAAUUGAAUAGACAUUAAAAGAUAAAAGUAAGAGAAGAGAAGAGAAUAUAAUCUAUUGUCAGUAGCCUUGAGACUCCUCUUUCGCUCCUGCUUUGAAUCUUCAAUGGUCUCCAAGUUGCUUCAAUCUCCAAAACUAAUAAGAACUAGGGUUAUGUUCUAAUCUAAAGGAGUGUUUAAUCUAGUCUAAUCUAUGUAAUCUCCUCUUAUUUUAUGCCUUACAUCAUGUAUUUAUAGGUUACAAGUCCAAUUUUUAGUUUAGGAACAAACCCAAUCCAAUUUGGAGUCAAAAAGGUGUCAAAAUUCGCCCAAAACGCGUCCAGGCCAUCACCAAGCCCUUCCCCAGCGCCCCAGCGCUGGGAACGACGCUCAGACACUGCCUUAUAGCGCCCUGGCGCUGGAAAAUGAACUAAGAAUAGCGCCCCGGCGCUGUUACAAGUUUUGACAUUUUUUGCUCCGACGUCCUUUGGAAAAAUGGCCAUAACUUCUUCGUCCGAACUCCGAUUUCGAUGAUUCAAGAUGUUCCGGAAAGAGGAAACAUAGAUCUACAACUUUUAUUCUUUGAGUGUUUCGAAAUAAGGUAUUUAGCGAUACUCAAAUUGGCUCUAAAGUGACUGCUGUGUAAAUGGCAAGCCGAAAACGCGAAUCUAGCCACCCCAAACAUCGAUCCAUGUAACUUUUGUCCCAAUUCCUAUAAAAUAACAUAAAACAUGCAUGAAUAGACACAAACACAUAAAAACAUCCUAAAAGACUUAAGAACAACAAUAAAUUAAGCCCGAAUGUAUCCAAUUCAUGGGUAUAAAACUCACUCAUCAAAUACCCCCAAACUUAAAUCUUUGCUUGUCCUCAAGCAAAAACACAAAAAUGUUAUGCAAUGCAAUGUAAUGAAACUAAUCUAUAUGCCUACGAAUCCAACAGUAAUGACAGAAACAAGUCUAUUCAACCGGCCUUAGAGAAAUCAAGUAAACAUGAUAAUACAUCAUAUUAAAACAAAUCAGUAAUUUCCCAAUCAAUCAUCAAAUCUUAGACUGUUAUCACUGAUAUAGUGCGUGUGUGCUCCACAACAAUGUUAACUGAUAUAAAAUCAAAUUUAAGACAUAAUAGAUAUCUUUGAAGGCAUCAUACAGUGCAAAUUCACAAAAUUCACGAACAAGCUAUAUCCAACUAAAGUCAAACAUCCACCAAGUUCAAGAGUCCAAUCUGGGAUACUUAUGCUUUACUUUUCAUUACGGGGGCUUUUUGCUCUUUUCCCGUUUUUUUUUUUUUUUUUUAACCAUAACUGUGCAAUGUCUCAUUCCAUUAGGCUAACAGUGUCACCCCUUAGCGAGCUUUCGACCAACGACUCCCAGACCAUAUAAGACCUUAGGGCGCUAGGUUUUAAGAUACCCCUUCGGGCGUACUUACUCAAGUAACAAAGGCCCCGAAACAAAACUAGCCACGGUAAUUUUUUUUUUCUUUUUCUCUUUUUUUUAUAGAUGGUUGGUGAGUGCGUUUUACGCUCCAUCUCACGCUUGUGUUUAUGGGGAGUGUUUCUCCUCAACCCACCACAAGACUCAACAUGUUUUUUUUUUUUUUUUUUUAAAGCUUAUAUACCCCAAAAUUUCCCCCCAAACUUAAGUUUUUAUCAAAAUUUAGCCAUCUCCGCCUAUUCAUGUCUUUCAUUCCUUCACACUAGUAUUAUACUUAAGAAAUCCAUUAUGUAUCAAUUUAAACUUAAUCAGUUAACAUAGCUGUUAUUAACGUGCUAACCUUGAUUAUACCAGUUUCAAACAGGAAAAGAUUCAAUUCAUAACAAGAAAUCACAUCAAAGCCUGAAUAUUCAAUACUAUACUUAUCUACUUAACUCCAGUCUCAUCAUUGGCCAAAAUAGACUUUUACUAUCUAACAGUUGGAAUCAUGCAAAUAUAAACUAACUGCAACAAACAUAGUAAACUAACUACUAUUUUUGCGAUUUUAAAAUUUUUUUUUUUAAAAAAAAAAAAAAAAAAAAACGAAUGCAACAACUAAAUGUAAAUAACCCGAAAACAUAACGAACUACAAUGUAAAUAACUAACUAUAUGCAAUACGACACUAAAAUGCCCCCAAACUUAAACUAGACAUUGUCCUCAAUGACUGAAAUAGAAAAAAUUAAAGCAGAGGACUUCCCUGAAAAUAUAGCAAUCUUCCUCCUUGCCCGCUAAGUUUGGAGAAUAGGCUAAGCACAUGGAACAAAUUGGGCACCACACUUGAAUUUGACUUGAAUAACCUGUAAAACCAUGAUAGAAGCAAUUUUAUUAAAUCCUAAAUAAAUGCAAAUUCAAAACUACUAAUAUAAAACUUAAUAAAAACUAAAAAUAAAAAUUAAACUUGGGUUGCCUCCCAAUAAGCGCUUGUUUUAUAGUCUCAGCCUGACUUCUUCAAUUCUCUAUCCAAUUCCCCUACGAAAGUUGAGGAACCCUCCAUCCAUCGGAAAUAAUAUAGCUUUUGGUAGGUUCCCAUUUGUAAUAGCCAUUGUAUUAAAGUCACCUAGAAUGCUUUCUUGAGAUAAGAUCACAUUCAAGAACGUCCAGCAUCUAGGUGGUUUCUCCAUUGUGUCUGCGAAUAUAUUCUGGCAUAGAGGCUUGUCAGACACAACAAUUUCUUCUUCUAUCUUCUCUAGCUCAUCGCACCAUGGUUUCGAAGGUGUACUUGCUUUUACAUCACAGAGAGUAUUGCCGACGACAUGACUACCAAUCGGACAAGGUUUUGCAAAUCUAACCGGACUCUUGAACUGUGGAGGAGAAGGCACUUGAGGCAUAAAUAACAUUGGCUCAUCAUCAUUGGUUCUCACAAUUAGUUCUUCACCGACCUUGUUGUCAUUAUCCCCACUUGUCUCCUCUUUUUCAUCUCGUGGCUCAUCCAGUUGUAGAUUUGGCUCGGGCUCACCAUCGGGCUCGGAAUCCAUGUCAUAGGGCCAGGUGUAUUGAGGACGGUUGUUCAACGCAUGUGCUAUCUGUUCCACUUGAUUUUCCAAAUUCUUGAUCAACGCCCCUUGGCUUUGCAAAUUCAGCUCUACUUGAUUCAUUUUCUUGUCUUGUUCCUCAUUCCUUUUUUCAGAAGCUUUAAUAAAUUUUUCCAAGGCUUCCUCCCAAUUUGAAUGUUCUUCCUGUUGUAGUGGAGGUGGACACAAGAAAUCCUGUGGGUAUGUUGGACUUGGAGCAUAAAAUUGAUCUUGAUUGUUACUCCAUGAAAAAUCCGGGUGAUACCCCCAAUCCUGAUGAUAGUUGUUGGGAUAGACAUAAUUAUUGGGGUAAUCACCACUAUACUGUACCGGCUCGAAACUGAUGGUGCAUUGAUGACUCAUAUGAUUUCCAGCACAAUAAUCACAAGUAACCACCAUACUUUGACGACGCUGAGCUUCAAAAGCUUCAAACAUCCUCGAAAGUGUCUCAAUCUGUGCUGACAAUGCAGAAAGUUUCUCGAGUCUUUCAAUCUCCACUCCCCUUGGUUGAGUCAUGUUCGUGUAUGGCCAUUGAUACACAAAGUCAUCCAUGGUACCUGAAAAGAGAGAAAUAUAGAAAGAGAAUUAAAAAUAAAAAUAAAAAUGUUUAAAUUAAGACUAAUUUGAUUGAAAUUAAUAUUGGUAAAUAAUUAUUAAAUUAAUUCCCCGGCAACGGCGCCAAAAACUUGUUGAUCGAUUUCGCAAUCAAUGAAUACGUGCAAGUAUACACGGUCAACAAGUAAUAAAGUGAAAGUAGAGUAUCGUUCCCACGAGGAAUUAUUUAAUAAAAAUUACCAAAUACUAACUCUUAACCAAAUCAAUUUUAUUUAAACAAUUACAAAUUGUGAAUUUUCUAAUUAAGAAAACUAAAUUAAACAAUUAAAAGAGAUUAGUCUAAAAGAAAGCAAAUAAACAAAACUAAGAUUUGAUUGAAUUCAGGUAAAUAAGGAUUAAGACUCCAAUAUCCCCAAUUAUGAACUAUAAAUCAAUUAUCCAAUUAUCCCAAUUAUUAUGUCUACUGAAUUGUUAACAGGAAUUCUCAAAUGCCAAAAGCCCUUUUCCAAGUGAUCAAUUGCCUUCUAUUUAAUCCAGAUUAAUUUUGCUAUAUUCCUAUGCAAAACAAUUGAAUUAAACUCGUUACAAUCCCAAUUCCUUAUGUGUUACAUGCGGCGAAAAGAUAUUUCCAUUCUAUUCACAAACCUAAUUAUUCACUGUGCAAAUAACUAAGUCACAUGAUAUCAUGCCCAGUUCUAACCCUAGAAUUCCUCUUUCAAUUCCUUCUAGAGUAACAAGGUAAUUACUGAUCAGAUAAUUAAUCAAUAAGCAUAAGGCAAGAUAAACAACUCACUUUGACACAAAUAAUUGGAAUAUAAUGAAUAACUAAUUCAUAGCCAUAAAAAGUUCAAUUGAAAUCUUAAUAAAAGAGUUAGUUCAUAAUUAAUGAAUUAAAACCAAGAAUCCACAAUUGAAUAGACAUUAAAAGAUAAAAGUAUGAUAAGAGAAGAGAAUAGAAUCUGUUGUCAGCAAAUCUGAUGCUCCCCUCUUGCUCUUGCUCUUGAUCUUCAAUGGUCUCCAAGUUGCUUCAAUCUCCAAAACUAAUAAGAACUAGGGUUAUGUUCUAAUCUAAUGGAGUGUAUCUCUAGUCUAAUCUAUGUAAUCCCCCAUUAUUUUAUGCCUUACAUCAUGUAUUUAUAGGUUACAAGUCUAAUUUUUAGUUUAGGAACAAACCCAAUCCAAUUUGGAGUCAAAAAAGGUGUCAAAAUUCACCCAAAACGCGUCCAGGCCAUCACCAAGCCCUUCCCCAGCACCCCAUCGCUGGGAACGACACUCAGACACUUCCGUAUAGCGCCCCGGCGCUGGAAAAUGAACUAAGAAUAGCGCGCCGGCGCUGUUACAAGUUCUGACAUUUUCUGCUCCGACAUCCUUUGGGAAAAUGGCCAUAACGUCUUCGUCCGAACUUAGAUUUCAAUGAUUCAAGAUGUUCCGGAAAGAGGAAAAGUAGAUCUAAAACUUUUGUUCUUUGAGCGUUCUGAAAUAAGGUCUGUAGCAAUACUCAAAUUGGCUAUGAAGUGACUGAUGUGUAAAUGACAAGCCGAAAACGCGAAUCUAGCCACCCCGAACGUCGAUCUAAGUAACUUUUGUCCCAAUUCCUACAAAACAACAUAAAACAUGCUUGAAUAGACAUAAACACUUAAAAACUAAUCUAAAAGACUUGAGAACAACAAUAAAUUAAGCUUGAAUGUAUCCAAUUCAUGUGUAUAAAACUCACUCAUCAGUAUCUCUAGUUUAUUACAUUGUAAUUUUGAGAAAGAUAUUCUCAGUAUUAAUUUCUACUAAAUAAACUCAUUUGUAAAUAUUAAAAAAAUAAUAAUUUUAUUUCAUAAUUACUUUUAGAUUACUAGUUGCAUAGAUUAUCGUAUUGAAAUUAUAAUAAAAUUGCCAUGAUAAAUUUAAAGAUAUAUAGUCACAUUAUAUAGCACUAGUUGAUAACCCAUGUAAUGCAUGAACUAAUUUGAAUAACAAAUUGUAUAACUUGUUAAAAUUUCGAUGCAAAAAAUAUUUUUUUUAUAAUAAGUUAUUUUCAUAUAAAUUUUUCAAUUCAUUUUUGCAUGAAAUGAUCAUCAUAUGUAAAAUAUUGUAAAUUAGAGUUGGUGCAAAGGACCCUAUAAGCAAUGAAUUCAUAACUGUAGUUUUUAAAUUAAUUAGAGUCAAACAUUAUGAUAGGAUCUUAUCCUCCUUCUGCCAUAGACUUAAUGAUGCAAGAACCCCAUGGAAUCAAUCCAACAAAAACUUGAUGAUUUUCUAUUUAACCCUAGAAAUAAAAUUAAGAGAUUGAAAAACAUAUGGUUUUCGUAUGUAUCCGUGUGUGGAGAGAUGUGGGGGAGGGACGUGGCUUACCUCCACUUAAAUUCAACUAUCAAAUUUAUAGAAAUAUUCUAAUUGUUGCGAAAAUAGCAAAUAGACUCCAUCAAUUUUUUAAGUCUAGACAAUAAAUAUAAGUAAACAGAUUUUCACUUUAAUGAAAAUUAAACACAACACACAAAUUCAAAGUUAAAACUACACGCAUACAUGAACUCUUAGCUUACUCUCAAGGCUUCUACAUACUCUUUUUUGAUAUUCUAUUUUUCACUAUGCAAUACAACUUAUGAGAUAAUUUCACUUUAUAAGACUAUCAUAUUAUGCAUUCAAUUGACAUUGUCGACUGAAAGCUGAAAUAGAACUUACCAAUAUUCAAUUUUAAAAGAAAAAUAAAUUUGUCAUUUCACUCCAAAAUUUUGCACGUCAUAUGACAAUAAUCUGCCUUACUCAAGUUUUGGAGCACAAAUUCCCACCUGGUAUAAUCAGAGAACAAAAAAUUACAAAAAGCAACUAUAUUAAGGUGCAGUUUAUCAUGACAUGAAAACUAUGAAGUUCAACAGUAAAUCUGAGAAGGAUUCCAAUAACUAUAAAUGCACGAUCAAUAACAAAAAUAAUCUAGAAUAUCAACUACAAAAUAUAAAUUGAAUUCAAAGAAAUAAAUAACUUACACAUUGAAAAUUAAACAGUGUAUGACCCUUAACAUUUGUUAGUCCGUGUAUGUAUACAUCUAUAUUUAUACAUGCGUACGUGUGUGUGUGUGUGUGUAUAUAUAUAUAUAUAUAUAUAUAUAUAUACACACACACACACACACACAAAUGUAUUGCAGCUUUAAGAGCAACAAAACACUUUUGAAAAAAAAUGGUUGCUCAGGUAAGACUCCAACUUUUAUGAAUAAAAAUGAAUUUUCUAUAAAUAUCAUUUUUGAAUAUUAUGGAGUGAAUUUAAUAUAAUGUUAUAGUUGAGGGUAAUAUUUAUAAAUUUUGUAAAGUACGCAAGUUGUUAUAUUAUAUUCGAUUGGUCAGGGAAUAUUCGUACGACGGCACAAUCAUUGGUGGACCCCACAACGAAAUUAUUGUCGGAUUGAUAAAACGACAAAAAUAUCUUUUUAUAAAAAUAAUGGCGAAAGUUUUUACCGUUAACACUGUUGGAAUACCUGGUGGUUAAAAUACAGUAAUACGCGUUGUUGCAUAGUAACACACGGUAUUGCACAGUAUUUUUGAAUUAUUGAUUCUUACGUAAGAAGGCACUACUCAAUAAUUGUUACAGUAAUUACUGUUAAAUAUUUUAUUUUAUUGAUUCAAUAAUUGCUGCGUUGAUAUAGUAUAUUACUAUUGUUUCAAUAAUUGUCACUGCACAGUAUUUUUCAUUAUCAGAUCAAUAAUUCAUAUUAUUUAAAUAAUAUUAUUAGAUAGUAUGAUUGGCAAUGUCUAAAAAGUUUAGUCAAUGAGAGGUUUGGUCACCUAAUUGCGCGCCAGUAAGGAGAAAUUCUUAUUGGAAAACCCCCUCUUUCUUGGGAACGGCCUGGUUGUCAUAAUUAUGAUUCUGUAAUAUUAUUUGUGAAUAAUUAAUUAUUGAUUUAUAUGAUAAGGAAAUAUAAAUUUUUUUGUGGAUAUAAAGGAAGGAAUUUAAUGUUGAGGUGUUUUGUCGGAAUGGAGGUAUUAAAAAAUCAAAUCACUGUUCUUAAAGCUCUAUUGCGUGAGUUAUAAUUUUGAUCCGACCGUUGGAUCGUUGUGAUUUUUGGAUAUGUUAUACAUAUAUAAGUUGAGUAUAUGUCCACAAAUUUUGAACCGUUAAAAAUUAGCGUAUGAUUUGUUAUGAAUUUUAAGAGGUGUUGAAAAUUGUUCGUUUGUGAAAUUCGGAUAUUUUCUGUUUGGAAUUUGGAAAAACUUUCUUCUGCAAAGUUGUAGAGAAUUUGAUUUCGUGUGGAAUGGACAUAAAAUUCGUAUUUUUCUGAUAAAAGGGCUAUUUAUUAUGAAUUAUUGAAGUUUCAAAAAAUAAAAUAUUUUUUUAUUAAAAUUGGGUGGGACCCACUUUUGUUUUUCAAACUUGUGGGCUGAAAUUUUUGUUCCAAGUUGGCUGCUCGUUUGGUGGGUGGACGUAAAGAUUUAAAAAAAAUAAUAAUAUUAUUAUUUUAUUAUUUUAGUCUCCUAUGGCGUUUUAGCAUUUUCCUAUAAAUAAGCGCUUAAGUUAGAAUUGAAAAUCACACCAGAAUCAAAGAAUUUUUCUUCUAUAAUCUUGAGCGUAUUUAUUUCGAGUUUUAGAAAGUUUUGAGCGUAGAAAAUAGUGAAAGUUUUCUUCAAGAAUAUCCCCGCUAUACCAGUUGGAAUACUCUUCUUUUUAAGGUAAGUGAUGUUAUUUUUGUUCAAUAUUUGCUUGAAAUAAUAUUUUCUUCCAUACUCUGUAGUAUGUAAGUAAUAUUAUUUUGUUUCAAAUUUCAAAUUAUAUACUCGUUUUGUUAAAAUUUUGGCUUUUAUACUCCAUGAAAUUAGUAGAAUAUCCUUGAUAUUUGCGCUUCAUCUAGUAUCUUUUCAUGGAAAUAUUAUUCUGAGCAUUCUUAAAAAGUUUUAACUUUUUCAUGCCGGAAUUAUAUUCACGGGGUUACUAUUCCCGAAGUACUAUUCACGAGAUACUAUUCACUCGAGUACUAUUCACCCGGGGUACUAUUCAUGAUAAAAAUUGAUUCGUUUUCGGUCCAAAUUAUUUUUGGUACAAUAUUAUUCUUGAAUUUUACUCCACAAAGCAGUAUCAUGUUGACAAUUUGGACGUUAUUGAUUUCUGGAUAAAUUAAAUUAUAAAUCUUUAAAAAUUUAUCCUUGAACUUGUUUUAUUGAAUUCUUAUAUCAUUGUCAUCAUCCUCAUGUUUAUAUUAUGUUGAAAGUCAUCUGUGGCCAGUAGUGAAUAGAUGGACUUUGUAUGAUUAUGACUAGGGAUUAUUCGGUAUAAUCAUGAUCGUAAUGUUACAAAUGAUGUGGUAGAAGUCCUCAUUGGCCCAUAGUGCAUUGAUGGAUAGUUGUUGGCAUGAUCAUAACCAUUGAUGAAUACACGAACAUCCUUGGCCCGUAGUGCAUGGACAAUUUGUGGUCGUGAUACUAAAGAAUAUCCUUGGUCGUAGUGCAGGGGUGAUUCGAUGAUGUGGAUUAUUUAUUAAGCUGAGUCUCAACGAUAAAAGUGAUGAAAAACCUUUUAAAUCAUAGAAGAUAGUAGAUUUUAUGCUCUACUUGACUCUUCUAAUGGAUUAUUUGUUUCGCUGCAGUUAAACUUGAUGUUUAUUAUAUUUUAUCAGUUUAACAUUGUUGAAGGCUAACGAUAAAUUAUUCUGCAUUAUCUUAGUCAUAAUAUUUCUUACUGGGCUAGUUGAGCUCACCCUUUUGCUUUCAUCGUCCUCUUUAGGAAAUGAGAACGUAGCCGGGACUAGUCGGGGAACGGGGUGACGGUCCAGAUGAUAGCAUUAGUAGUCCUCACUAUUCUAUGAAAUGAUGUGAUAAUAAAUGUAUUGAGGACUCCAUUUGAGUUGAAUAAUGUCUAAAAGACAAUAUUCGUUUUAAAACUCUCAGUUUAUGUUUUGUCGUAUUUUACACGAAAAUUGUAUUAUUAAGUUGUAUUUGAAUUUUGUACCAUGUAUUUGUCGACUCAAGAUGGGUGAUGUAUACCUAUUUUGGGGGCGUCACAGUUGGUAUAAAAGCUUAGGGAUAUGAUCCCUAGCUGAGAUAUGAGACAAGAACUAGGAGGGGAGAGACGGGAAAUUCCUUCGCUAGUAUGACCUACCUAAGUUUAUUUGGUAUUUAAUUGGUCGGUCAGAGUAUAGGGAUAAUAUGUGAUAUGUUAAUUAACCCUUGUUUUGUGGCAGUAUUUGAAAAUGACAUCCGAGAAUGUUGAGAAUAGCAAUGGAGCACAGGAGACCGUUGAGUCUCCACAGAUCAAUAAUCAGGAUAAUGUGCAUCAGGAAGGCGACAAUCCUCAUGCAAACAACAAAACUGACCAAAUGAUGAACGAUAGAAUGUUCAGAGGCUUUCUACAAUUCAUGCAACAUCAGGCAAGAGAGACUCAUGUCCGAAAUGUAGGUGGAAACACUGGCAACUCUCGGACGAUCACUGCUAAACAGUUGAAGGAGCUGGGACCACCGGAGUUUUUUGGAAAGCCAAAACCACUUAAGGCCGAGACGUGGAUAAACCAGAUCAACAAGAUAUUUGAUGUCUUGGGAUGCUCCGAGGAGCAAAAGGUUCCCUUUGCCACCUUCAUGUUGCGGGCAAAAACAGAUUACUGGUGGGAAUUUGUAAAGCGUACUUAACCUACCGCACUGAAGAUGUCUUGGGUGAAGUUCCAAGAACUGUUCAACGACAAGUACUUUCCCGAAAGUAUUCGUCACAUGAAAGAGGUAGAGUUCAUUAAACUGGAGCAAAACAACAUGACCGUGUCACAGUACGAAGCUAAGUUUGCUGAGUUGUCCCGGUUUGCACCCCACUUAGUUGAUAAUGAGGAGAGAAUGACACGGAUGUUUCUAAGAGGUUUGAAACCCGAGAUACGUCAAUACCUUAUCUCUCACAAACUUUGCUUCUAUUCAAAUGUUGUGAAUAGGGCUCAGUUAUUGGAAUGUGAUAAUGAGUCAACCCAACCAAGAGAGAGCAGCCAACAAAAUGAUAAUACCAGUGGUAGCAGUCAUCGAAGCGGUGACAACAAACAUUGAGGGAAUCAACAUGUCAGAAAUGGUAACCACAUCGGUGGUAAUCAUAGCCAAGACAAUAAGAGUGGACAUUUCAAGUAGAGGAGAUUCAACAAUGAUGGAAAGACGUCAGCACCAGCACCCAUUGUUAAGGAAGGAGAGCAGCCACCUAUCAUAUGCUUCAAAUACGGAGGGGAGGGACACAUCAGUCCAAACUAUGCAAUGCAGUCCAAAGCGUGUUAUAAUUGUGGAAGAGAAGGUCACCUAGUCCGAUUUUGUCGUGCACUGAAGAUAAGUCCAGCUGGGAUGGAGGCACCAAAGGCCGUCCCAGAAAAGUCAAAGCCGGUAGUUCAAGGGAGAGCGUUUGCCGUGACCUCCCAGAAAGUAAGGAACCCGAACGAGGUCAUCACGAGUAAGCUUAUCAUAAACUCUAGCGAAGUCUAUACCUUAUUUGAUACCGGUUCUAUCCAUUCUUUUAUUUCUCCUACCUGCGCUCAACGUUUAAAUUUGACUCCGGAAAAAUUAGACUUUGACUUAUCUGUUGAAACUUCGUUGGGAGAAACCUUCAUUACAUCCACUGUUUAUAAGUCUUGUUUGGUUUAAAUCGGUACCCUCACAUUACCUGUCGAUCUAAUUUCAUUGAAAAUACUUGCAUUUAACGUNNNNNNNNNNNNNNNNNNNNNNNNNNNNNNNNNNNNNNNNNNNNNNNNNNNNNNNNNNNNNNNNNNNNNNNNNNNNNNNNNNNNNNNNNNNNNNNNNNNNAUAGACAUUAAAAGAUAAAAGUAAGAGAAGAGAAGAGAAUAUAAUCUGUUGUCAGCAAAUUUGAUGCUCCCCUCUUGCUCCUGCUUUGACUCUUCAAUGGUCUCCAAGUUGCUUCAAUCUCCAAAACUAAUAAGAACUAAGGUUAUUUUCUAAUCUAAUGGAGUGUAUCUCUAAUCUAAUCUAUGUAAUCUCCCCUUAUUUUAUGUCUUACAUCAUGUAUUUAUAGAUUACAAGUCCAAUUUUGAGCUUAGGAACAAACCUAAUCCAAUUUGGAGUCAAAAAGGUGUCAAAAUUAGCCCAAAACGCGUUCAGGCCGCACCCAACCUCUUCCCCAGCGCCCCAGCACUGGGCACGAUGCUUAGACAUUGCCUUAUAGCGCCCCGGCGCUGCAAAUAGGCUUAAAAUGGGCGCCCCGGCGCUGCCCCAUUUUCUAACAUUUUCUGCUCCGACGUCCUUUGGUAAAAUGGCCAUAACUUCUUCGUCCGAACUCCAAUUUUGAUGAUUCAAGAUGAUCCGGAAAGAGGAAAAGUAUAUCUACAACUUUCGUUCUUUGCGUUUUGCGAAAUAAUGUCCGGAGCUAUAGUCAAAUUGGCUCUGAAGUGACUGCUGUGUAAAUGGCAAGCCGAGAACGCGAAUCUAGCCACCCCAAACGUCGAUCCAAGUAACUUUUGUCCCAAUUCCUACAAAACAAUAUAAAACAUGCAUGAAUGGACACAAACACAUAAAAACAUCCUAAAAGACUUAAGAACAACAAUAAAUUAAGCCCGAAUGUAUCCAAUUCAUGAGUAUAUUACCCAUUCAUCAAAUACCCCAAACUUAAACCUUUGCUUGUCCUCAAGCAAAAACAUAAAAGAACUAAAAAUAAAUAAAAUAACUCAACUAAAUGAAUGCAUAUGCAUAAUCUACUUCCUAAUAUACCUACGAACCCAGUAAUAAAUCAGUAUGAUAUAUAGCAACAGGCCUCAAAGAUACCAUUGAUACUCAAACAAUAUAUCCGAUCAAGUCAAAAUCCAUAACUCUAACCAAUUAGUCAAUCCAAACCUGUCAUCACCCAUGUUGUGCGUGUGUGCUUGUUAACCAUUCUAACCAACCAUAAUUCAAGAUAAUCACAUAACAAACUUCUUAAAAGGAAAAUUUCAGUUCCAAUUCAAUUACUUUCGUGAACAUGACAACUCCAGUUAAAACUAAGCAAUUACCAAGUCUUACGGUAAAUACAGGAUUUAUUUACACUCUUAUUCAACCACGAGGGAAUUUUAGCUCUUUCUCGUGUUUUAUUCAUUUUUUUCUCAUGGCUGUGCAAUGUCUUAUUCCCUUAGGCUUUUCAGUGCUACCUUAACGAGCUUUCGACCAACGACUUCCAGACCAUAUAAGACCUUAGGGCGCUAGGUGUUAAGACACCCCUUCGAGCGUACUUGCUCAAGUAACAAAGGCCCCGAAACAAAACUAACCAUGGUUUUUCUAUUUUUUUUUCAUCAUCUCUUUUCUUUUUUUUUCUUUUUUCUGGAUUUUCUAUUUUUUUUUCUCUUCAUCAAUUUUUCUUUAGUAUAUAUAUCCCAUAGACUCUCCCAAACUCAAGCUUUUACGUCAUUCCAACCUUUACCGCCAGUUCGCUAAUUUCCUUAAAUUUUAACAAAGAUUUUCCCUCAGAAACAAAUUAUGAAACCCUUGAACCAAGUGGAUUAAAACAGUUAAACUUUAAGUGCUAACCGGUUACAUAAGUUUUACACAGGCUCAGAUUAUCUUCAUGAUUAAAAUUAGAACUCAUCAUCAAUUAUCAACACUGUUCAAGUUAACAUGCAAAACCAAUCUUAUCAUAGGCCGAGCUAAGACCACACCAACCUAUCACACAGAUUCAUGCAAAAAUAAGAAAAAAAUGCAAUUAUACUACAUGAACACAUAUAUGAAAAUGCAAAAAAAAAAUACCAUGUAUUAUAUGCAACCUAAAAAAAACACAAUGCUAACACAUAAAAAAAAAUAAA
rnacentral:lncRNA from 1 species